rnacentral:lncRNA from 1 species
AAAUCCAAAUAGACUUCAUAUACAAAUUAUCAAUGUUUGAAUGCUUGUCUGACUCCCCAAUCUGACAGACGAACCACCACCAGUUUUGUGCAGGUUGUCUCAUCACUCAUCUCCUGUCUUGCCUUUUUGCGUUACUUACACUUCCAAGGUCAUUUACGUACCAAAAACUAAUUCCAAAAUCAUCAGACUGUAAGUCACACAUGGACAGAAGAAAGAUCAAAAAGUUUUCAUGGUUUCCAAGGUGCCGGAGGUGGUGGUGGUGUGGGAAACAUUGGUGGAACUGCAGAAAAAAUGGUAUUCUUGUCAAUCCCGGUUGCCUUGUCACCAGACAAUGCCACGAGUGCAGCAACCAACCCUGCGUUGCCUGCUAGAGUUGGCUCCGUGUAGUUGUAGUUGGUGCGAACAUCACGAAACCCAUCAUGCUUGUCAGGUCCAGCUACCAUGGCUCCCACAAGUGUGUUGGGGUUUGGUUUUGACGUAUCCCUCCAUUUCCAUCCCCCUUUACAGUUAUAUUUGAUCUUAUUCUUAGGGAUAGAUGCACCUCUAUGGUGAACAUGCUUUGGAUAAUGGUUACCAAAGCCCACAACAUAGCUCAGUUUUCGAGGAUUUUUGCCAAGGAUAUAAUCAAUCUGAACAAAAUGACAGGCAUAAAACAAAAUUAUUGGCCACCAUGCCUUAGUAUGUCCCCUAAACUAUGGUUCGAAAAAGAACAGCCUACAACAUACCUGGGUUUUGGCAAAUUCACGCAGGACAUCAGUUGAAUAGAAAUUGGGACCACAAUACCAUCCAGGUGUAUCAGCAGCAUCAAGAUAAUCACUAUAUAGGGCGGCUAAGAAGGCUGCAUUGACUACGUAUUGCAGUGGCUGAGGCCUUCCAUGGUUUAACUGAAUCAAACCUCCUGUAUUAUAUCCAAAGUUAACAUGAUCAUGGAAAAGAAAAUAACCAACACAUUUGAGUAUUACAUGGUCAACCAAAAGAGCAGAUAAGUUUACCUUUUGUUCUAUUAAAGCUAGUGAAAACUGGAAGGAAUGAGCACAUAAUUAUGCUGGUUUGAUUAUGAAACGUACUCAAUAUUUCCUCAUAUGGAUACCCAGGACUCAAAAACAAUCUCAAUCGGCUCAGAAGCACCUAAAACACAAAUUUGGUUACAUUAGCAACGAACAAGGAAGCUAUUUCCAAGAAGCCUGUAGAUAGACAAUCACAAAAUUAAUAACCCUAGGCUAGAGGCAAAUUGUGGCAAGUACAAUACAGUUGCUGCAAAAAUAGAUGGAUAAUUGGCCCAUCUAAAUAGAUUGCAUAUCCAAGUAGCAACUUUAACAGCCUUGAAACUAGUAAAUAGGAUCCUGAAAAUGUGUGAUUGUAAAUAUCAUACAAUACAAAUAGUUUAGGCUAGAAAAGACAAGGAGGCUACAAGAUACGAGAUAACUGAUGAGUGGCGGCGAUGCUUCAAAUAAAGUUGAGACUACACAAUAUAGAAGAUAAACAAGUUGUUAAUGAAAUUGAAAUUCAAUAUUGAGUCAUACUACGAACAUAAGGGAGAAAACUGGAUGAAAUUUUACAGAUGCCUUAAAAGAAAGAUAAUUGAUUGAACCAAGAAAUUUAACAAAUUCCAAGUUAACUUUAGCUGGGAAAAUGUCUUUAUAUCAAAUAAUCAGAACAUAGCAGAUAGCCAUACAAGGAAUAGAAUUAGAAAGACAAGCACAAGAGUUACCUGAGCACCGGCAAGCUUAUUAUCCCAGCUAAGAACACCAUAAUCUGGGCCGCCCCAGAAAGCACCAGCAUGCUUGGCAAGUUUAGGAUGAGUAGCUAACUGAAGAUAGGAUGAAUUCCCAGUGGCAUAGUAUAACCAGGCUCCACCCCAAACAAACUCAUCCCAGUAACUUGAGGAAUUAUAAAAGAGGGCAGGGUCAGAACCACCAGCACUAUAUCUGCCUCUUUGAUCCCUAGCAAACUUAAAGAGUGUUCGGGCACCAUGGACAAGCUUUUGAGAGUAUGCUUUGUUGUCUUUGAAAACGAUGGAAGCAGAAGCCAAAGCAGCAGCCAUUUCAGCAGCAAGAUCGGAGCAACUAUGACAUUCAUAUACAGGACGGGGGUAAUCAAUGUCCUCAGGGCGCAUCCAGCAAUAAUGAUCAUUUGGGGCUGAACUUCCUCCAGAUGUAUCUCCUAUCCCUACCUGUGAAUCCAUAAGUUAGCAUAUGAUAAUGGGCAAAAGAAGAAGAAUAAAAAAAGGAAUAGCAUUAGUAUUAUGGUCGAUUGCUAAUAUGGUAGCAAUAGGAUUAACACAAAGUAUAACAAUAAAAUUAUACCUGCGCAGCAAUCCUGUCAAUGGUAUCAGCAGUAUUGUUGAAGGUCUUGAGAAGAUAAUCAGUACCCCAUUUGAUGAUCUCUUUAACAUGAUUGAGCUCACCGGCAGCCUCGUAUUUAGCACUGUAUUCGAUGACACUCCAGCUCAACAUAGUCAUUGAAAAGGAUGCAGGAAAGUUAAACUUGAUAGCAUCUCCAGCAUCGUAAUAUCCGCCGACCAGAUCUUUCAUCAAAACGGAGGGAUCGGAUUUGCCAUCUUGGAGGCCCGAGUUCCCUCUCCACGACACAUUAUUAUGCUUGGGCAGCUUUCCAGCUACAGUGGAUUCAUAUAUAUAAGGAUUAUAAAUAAUUCAACGAUACACAAUCAGUAAAUUGUAUGUAUCUACUGCUAUUAUCAUGUUCUAUAAUGCAGGGUUGAUUAGACUCGUGAAUCUAAUAAAUACUCAAUUUAGUAAUCAUGUUUAUUUCCAUUUUGCUUAAAUGGGAUGGGAUCGUAUAGAAGUUGAAUCUAAAUAACAUAAAUUGAAGCUAAAAAGAGAAGAAAAGAAAAAAACUAAACGAAGGGGAGAGAAAACGUACAACGCUGAGCAUUAAAGAACAUGAGCGCCUUGUGAAGAGCCAGAGUGUAGUUAUCGGGCGGAGAGUGGCGGUGGUGAUGACGUGGGACAGUCUUGACGAUGAGGGUGAUGAGUCCGGCCAGGAGGGCGGAGACGAGCAGGGUCCCCACGGUCCAUACAAAGAUCUUGCGGCUCACAAUGAUACAUCCGAGAUCGACGUACUUCUUCUUCUUCUUUUGCUCCCCGGGGCCAAGCAGCCAGCUUUGCUGAGUCUCGUCCAAGGGGCGAGAGAGUGCAGCCCUAUCCAGGUCCUGCAGAUUCCUGCUCCUGUCGUCGUCAGUGGCAGAAUCAGUGGCGUUUAUCUCCAGGGGACCUCCCCACGGAUCUCUGCCGUACAUGAUGAGGAUUUGGAAGAGUAGUGGGCUGAAAAUGCAGGAGCACCGACAGAUCUGAUCUACCAAGACGAAGCGGAAGGUGUGUUUGAUAAAUAAAAUGUGUAUAAGUAGGCAGUGGGUGCUUUCUUUAUUGGUUUUCCAAAGUGGACUUGAGUUAUGAGUUAAUGACUAUUCAGAGAUUCGGAUGGUAAUAUUGAGCUGUAUGAUUUGGACGGUUGCUUUGCUGUACCCAAUCAUACACCUUAUUAUUAUUUACUAUUAAUUAUUAAUUUAUUAAAAAUCUUAUUUUUGAUUAUUUAACAUUUACUUAAUUUACAAAAUUUCCGUCUUUUGUAAUCUUCAAACCAAUUAAAAAACUGAAUUAAGAAGUCACAAGAUAUAAAUAAAAAUAUAUAUUAAUAUUAGGCGCGGUUGAUGAAACUGAAAACAAUACAAAGUAUAAGGGACAACGACAGCCAACCAGUUUGCCGUAACGACAGCCAAACCGAAAUCUUAUUAUUAUUAUUAUUAUUAUUAUUAUUAUUGCAUUCCACAUUUCAACUAACGGUAGGUAAGAUGUAACCUAAUUAUCUAGGUUUUAACACAUGCUUUGCAUUUCUCUGCUUUCUCUCCUAUUUUUAAUAAAAUUGCUUUGAAUUAACAAUGUUAUUAAAAAUUGUAAAUUUUUAAGAUUUGGGAAAAAUCGGUUGAAGAGAAUAAAAUUUUAACUACUAGAAUAAGUUAGGUUUAUAUAUCGAAGAUAAUUUUCAUCAUUCAUUGAUUAAGCGGGAUUAAAUUAAAUUUAUUAUCUAGAUUUAAUUGAGGCACCGGAAUAUUUAUUAAAGGUAUUGUUAGUUUUUUUUUUGUGAUAAAUUUAUGCUCCUUUAAAUAUAAAUUACUAUUAAAAAAAUUCUCUUUUAUGUCGAAUAAAUGAACUAUUUAUUUUUGGCCAAAAUAUGAAUUAUUUAAUAAAUUAUUUUCAUAAAUAGCUUCAACUUUUAAUUUUGUUUGAACGUAUAAUUCUAACGAGAGCAAACAUACAAACUUCAUAAUGAUGUUAAUCAUCUCUACCCUUUUUUAUUCAACAGACACCAGAAGGGCUUUCAGAAAAAAAUAUCUAUACCGACACUAGAAGACGUCCGUUAUGACUUUUAUUUAUUUAUGUAUUGUAUUGUAAGUUUUGGAUGAAUCUACCUGAUUAAAUAAUUUAAUUUUUAUAUUAUUAAAAAAAUUAAAUAAGUCUAUAUUUCAAUAGUAUUGAUAUUUAUUGUUUCAAAAUUGUCAUUUAUUAUUAACAAAGUAAGUAUUUUGAAUUUUAUGAUUCUCAAAAUUUUAUAUUUAAAGUUAAACUGUAAAAAAGAUAUUUCUUAUCAUUUUUAACUGUAGAUACUUUAUUACAAAUUGGGGUUUAUUUAAUAUCUUUUAAUAAUAUAAAAUAAAUUAAUAAAUUUAUUAGUAAAUGGAUUAAUUUGAUUCAAUUAUAAUAAAGGGACUUUACAAGUGCUUUCACCAUAUGUUCUCUUCCUUCCAUCUUCUGCUUUGACACUUCGGCUAGGUCCAAAAUGGCAUUGUUUCUGUGAGGUUCCAAAAAUUUGAUAUACAAUUUGUGUCAUUCCGAAUUAAGUUGUUAUGAUCCGAAAUUCUUGAUGUUAGAUUUCAUGAAAUUUUAGUUAAAUACUACGAAGUUUAUUGACAAUCAAAUUACGAAUUGAAUACCAAAAUCGAAUUUUCAAAGUUAAAAGUUACUUUUGAAGUUUUUUAGGAAUUAUCGGGCUUUUAAUAGGGUUUGGAUUAUUUUUAAGAAGAUGCAUGGUUAAGAAACCUUGAAAUUGAGGACUAAAUUGAAAAUGAGAAAAAUUGGGGAGGCUUAAUGAAAUUAAUUACACAAGAAAAGAGGUGGUGUAACACCUCGUACCUGUAUUCAUCGUUGAAACAAGGUAAGAAGUGUUAUCAAACGAUCAAAUUAUUUUUUUUUGCAAAAAUUUUGACAUAGUUUCUUUUCAUAAAUAUUCAAUUCCUCCUGCAAAUUUUCGAAACACAAUCUCAAGCAACAUCAAUAUUUCAACCAAAUACAAUCAUAUAUUCAGACACGAUUAAUCCAUUCAUAACAUCCUAAACUAUAUGGACAAUAGAUUUACGGAAAUAAUUCAUCAAUUAUAGAUACUAACAUUUUAAACCAAACCACAUUUUAUACAUUUAUAUAUAAGUUUAUACUACAUUGCAUUAAGUCAUCUAUACAUGCCAUUUUUCAAAAGGAUUGGUUGCAAAAUACCCAAGAGUUGAUGAUGAUAGUGAGGAUGAUGUUCUGACUCUGUCCAAUUCCCGAGCUGAUUAAUAUCACUAUAAAACAAAGGAAAAAGUAAGAGGAGUAAGCUUAUAGCUUAGUAAGUAUGUAUGUAAUUGAUAAAUAAAUUUCUGGAAUAAUAUCAUAUAUUAUAUAAUUUAUACCACACACAAAUCUAUCAUUUAGUCAACUUCCAGCAAACUGUUUUUCUGCAUUAUAGCCGCUAAAUUAUUUUUAUCCGGAGUUGCAGAACUCAAAAUUAAGAUCUGUAAAUUUUCUCUGAAACUAGACUCAUAUACCUUCUUACCAUAAAAUUUUCAGAAUUUUUGGUUCAGUAAAGUAGUACAGUUUAUUCUCUAAAUAUUCCCCUGUUUCACUAUUUGACACUUCUGACCUCUCAUUACUAAAAUUUAUUUUACUCUUUGUAAAAAAUUCAAACAAUGUUCUCGUUUCUUUCUCUUAAAAAUAGACUCAUUAAGGAAUUCAAGAAUGUAAAUUUCAAGCCAUAAUUAUUUUUUAAAAAUUUUUGGUUAUUUUCGAAAGUCGGAACAGGGGAUUUCGAAAUCAACCCAACCCUGUCUCAAUAAAGUUUAAAUAUCCCCAAAUAUACAACUCCUUUGCUUACUUUGUUUCUUCCAUAUGAAAAUAGACUCGUUAAGCUUCAAUUUCAUAUAUUAUUUAGCCUCUAACUCAAUUUCUAUAGUUUUUGGUGAUUUUUCAAACUAACAUCACCAUCACUGUCCAAAUCUGUUCUAUUCCAAUAUUCCUUAUUCACAUAGCACUAUAGCCAUUUAUUUUAUAACACAACACAAACUUCAUCACUUCAAUCACUUUUCACAACUUAUUACAUUCCGAUCACAUACUCAUAUUUCAUCAUCAUGACGGUUUAAAAAAAUAUUCGGAGCUUUUCACACAGUACAACUCAUAUUAUUUUUUAUCAUUCGAUACACGUAGUAGCCUUCACAUAGUACUACACACGUGAUCAGUUUUACAGUUCACGUAGUAGCCUUCACAUAGUACUAUACACAUGAUCAAGUUUUACGGCUCCCGUAGUAGCCUUCACAUAGUACUACACACGUGAUCAAGUUUUACGGCUCACGUAGUAGCCUUCACAUAGUACUACAUACGUGACCAAAGCUUUUCGGUACCCAUUGUAGCCUUCACUUAGUACUACACAUGUAACCAUAGUUUACUGAUACACGUAGUAGCAUUCACACAGUACUACACACGUGCUCAAAGCUUUUCGGUACACAUAGUAGCCUUCACUUAGUACUACACAUGUGACCAUUAUUUAUCGAUACACGUAGUAGCCUCCACACAGUACUACACACGUGUUCAUCGACACCUUAUUCAAAUCUUUACUCAAAUAAAUUUAUAAUUUGUCCAAAACACAUUAUAAUAUUAACCUUUCACGUAUAUUGUUACGAAACAUAACAAAAAUAAUUAUAACAAUGUAAUAAUUACAUUCAACUUACCUCAAUACAAAAUGUAAAGAUUUUGCAAUUUAAUCCUCAAUCUUCUCUUUCCCCCGAUUAAGGUUGAUUUCUCGUCUUUCUUAAUCUAUAACAGCAAAUUGAGCUUUUUUAAUAUUCACAUUUAUUAAAACAAGCUUCGACUCAACUUUUAUAAAAUUACAAUUUUGUCCCUAAACUUUUGCAUAAUUACAUCUUUGUCCCCAAGCUCGAAAAUUAAAUUUCACACCUUAUUCUUAUGUUUUACAACAUUCUGAACACUUUUCCCUUCUAUGGCAACAUCAAAUUCUCACUGUAACAUACACUUAUGAACAAUAAAUAUUUUUACCGAUUAUGUCGAUUAACUCGUUUUUGCUUAAAACCACUUAGCAAAAGUUGUUUAACAUAAUUUCUAGCUUCAUAUUCCACCAUAAAACAGCAAAAUAAACACACUUCACGUAUGAGUAUUUUUCCAAAUAUAAACCCUAACAUGAAUUAUUGAUAGAAUAAGCUAAACCGAGCUACGAGGAUUUCAAAAAUGCGAAGAACAUUAAAAACGGGGCUAAGAUGCACUUACUAUGAGCUUGAAAAAUCAAAGAAACCCUAGCUAUGGUGUCUUCCAAUUUUUGGCAGCAACUUAUGGAGAAGAUGAUGAUUUUUGCCAUCUUUUUCCCUUUUCAUUCUUUUUAUUACCUAAUGACUAAAAUGCCCCAUUUAAAAAAAAUUCAUUUCACCCAUUUCUUAUGACUAUCUUUGUCCAUCAAUUUACUAAUGGUCUAAUUACCACAUAAAAACCUCCAAUUUAAAAUUUCAUAACAAUUAGACCCCUCUAAGAUGUAGAACUCAACUUUUGCACUUUUUACAAUUUAGUCCUUUUGACUAAAUUAAAUGCCCAAAUGUCAAAAUUUUCGAACGAAAUUUUUACGAAAUUUUUCCGUGAAAUUAUAGACCUUAAAAAUAUAAUGAUAAUAAUAUUUUCCCUCGUCAGAUUUGUUGUCCCGAAACCACUGUUCCGACUAAACCCAGAAUCGGGCUGUUACAACACUCCCCCUUAGGGAUUUUCGUCCUCGAAAAUCUUACCAGAAAAUAGGUUUGGGUACUGUUUCCUCAUAACUUCCUCCGGUUCCCACAUAGCCUCUUUCAUUCCAUGUUUUUGCCACAACACUUUCACUAAUGCUACACUUUUAUUUCUUAACUGUUUGAUCUCUCGGGCCAAAAUCUUUAUCGGUUCCUCCUCAUAAGUCAUAUCUGGCCGAAUUUCAAUCUUAGUAGGAGAAACUAUAUGUGAAGGAUCUGAACGAUAGUGCCGCAACAUCGAUACAUGAAAUACAUUAUGUAUUCUUUCCAACUCUGCUGGCAAAGCUAACCGAUAAGCUAUGGGUCCAAUCCUUUCAAUAACUUCAUACGGUCUAAUAAAACGUGGACUCAAUUUGCCUUUAUGGCUAAAUCUCAAAAUCUUCUUCCAUGGAGAUACUUUUAAGAACACUUUAUCACCCACUUGAAACUCAAUUUCUUUUCUCUUUAAAUCCGCAUAUGACUUUUGUCGAUCUGAAGCAGCCUUUAAGCAGUCACGAAUUACUUUCACCUUUUCUUCAGUUUCUUUCACCAAAUCAACUCCGUGAAUCUGAUUCUCACUGAGCUCAGUCCAAUACAAAGGUGUUCUACACUUACGUCCAUAUAAUGCUUCGUACGGUGCCAUUCGUAUACUCGACUGAUAACUAUUGUUGUAAGCAAAUUCAACCAAUGGUAGAUAUUUCUCCCAAUGGCCUUCAAAUUCCAGAAUACAGCACCGGAGCAUGUCUUCAAGAACUUGAAUCACUUUUUCAGAUUGUCCGUCGGUUUGCGGAUGGAAUACAGUACUAAAAUUCAAUUUUGUACCCAGGGCCUCUUGCAACUUUAUCCAAAACCUCGAAGUAAACCUCGGAUCUCUAUCCGAUAUAAUGGACUUAGGCACCCCGUGCAAUCUCACAAUUUCAGCAACAUAUAGCUCCACCAACCUAUCAAGUGAGUAAUCUAUGCAUACCGGUAUAAAAUGAGCCGACUUUGUCAAUCUAUCAACGAUCACCCAAAUAGCAUCCUUCUUCCUUGGAGUCAGAGGUAAUCCUGUCACAAAAUCCAUCGUGAUGCUGUCUCAUUUCCACUCUGAAAUCAUUACCGGUUGGAGUAAACCCGAUGGUACUUGAUGUUCAGCUUUCACUUGUUGACAAAUUAAACAAUUUAAUACAAAUUCCGAGAUAUCCUUUUUCAUGCCCGACCACCAAUACAAUUUCUUCAAAUCAGUAUACAUUUUUACACUACCUAGGUGAACUGACAAAUCACCACUGUGUGCCUCACAUAAAAUGGUCUGAAUUAAUUCAUUAUUUUUCGGUACACAUACCCUAUUCCGGAACAUCAGGCAAUCAUCUGAACUAAUUCAAAAAUCUGAGUCAACACCUGCUUCGUACUGAGCUCUCCUAGCUUGCAAUUCACUGUCAUUCUUUUGAGCUUCCCGAAUUUGCUGAAGGAAUAAUGGUCUAGCCCUCAAUUUAGCCAAAAUUGAACCAUCAUCAGAUAAGGUUAAUCUUGUACUCAUAGCUCUCAAAGCAAAUAAAGAUUUUUUGCUCAAAGCAUCAGCAACCACAUUAGCUUUUCCGAGAUGAUAAUCAAUCACUAGCUCAUAGUCUUUUAUUAGCUCAAGCCAUCUUCGUUGUCGCAAAUUCAAGUCUUUUUUAUUCAUUAAAUACUUCAAGCUCUUAUGAUCAGUGAAGAUUCGGCAUUUCUCACCUUACAAAUAAUGGCGCCAAAUCUUUAAAGCAAAAACAAUGGCAGCCAACUCUAAAUCAUGCGUUGGAUAAUUCUUCUCAUGCGGUUUUAGCUGUCUCGAAGCAUAAACUAUUAGUUUGCCUUCUUGCAUUAACAUACAUCCAAGACCAUUCAAUGAUACAUCACUGUAAACUACAAACUCCUUCCCUGACUUAGGUUGUACCAACACUGGUGCCUCCGUCAAUAAUGCCUUCAAUUUCUUGAAACUUUGUUGACAUUUAUCGGUCCACUCAAACUUAACAUUCUUUUGUAGCAACUUAGUCAUAGGAGAAGCAAUCAUUGAGAAUACCUUGACAAAACGUCGGUAAUACCUGGCUAAACCCAGAAAGCUUCUAACCUCAGACACAUUCUUUGGUGGUUCCCAAUCCACAAUUGCUGAAAUUUUGUUCGGAUCAACCCGAAUACCGUCACUUGAAACUAUGUCCCAAGAAUCUAACUUCACGAAGCCAAAACUCACUUUUGCUGAAUUUAGUAUACAAUUUCUUCUCCCUCAGAAUCUGCAACACAGUUCUCAAAUGUUCUGUAUGCUCAGAUUCAUCCCGAUAAUAAAUUAAAAUAUUAUCUAUGAACAACACCAUAAACUUAUCCAGAUACGGCCAGAAAAUUCAAUUCAUCAAAUCCAUAAAAAUAGCCGGAGCAUUAGUUAAACCAAAAGGCAUUACCAGAAAUUCAUAGUGUCCAUACCUCGUUCUGAAAGCGGUCUUUGGCACAUCGAACUCCUUAACUCUCAACUGAUAGUAACCAGAUCUCAGAUCAAUCUUUGAAAACACUGUUGCUCCUUUUAGUUGGUCAAAAAAAUCAUCAAUUCUCGGCAAAGGAUACUUGUUCUUUAUAGUCACUUUGUUGAGCUGACGAUAGUCAAUACAAAGUCUCCUAGAGCCGUCUUUCUUUUUCACAAAUAAUACAAGAGCACUCCAGGGAGAAAAACUCGAUCUCACAAAUCCUUUAUCUGUCAAUUCUUGUAGCUGAGCUUUUAAUUCUUUCAACUCAGUCGGAGCCAUCCGAUAAAGAGCAAUAGAAGUCGGUGCAGUAUCAGGUAACAAGUCAAUAGCAAACUCAACUUCUCUAAUUGGAGGUAACCCAGGCAAUUCCUUUGGAAAUACAUCCGAAAAUUCGCAGACUACCGGCACUGAUUCAAGCUUCGACCCGGUUAUACCAGUAUUCAACACAUAAACAAGAUAAGCUUCACAUCCCUUUCUCAUGUAUUUCUGGGCUGACAUGUGUGAAAUCACUAUAGGCGAUUUAUUCGGCUCUUCCGCUUCAACCCGAAGAAUUUCACCAUUUCCACAUUUCAAUUCAAGGAUUUUCUGUCUACAAUUUACCUUGGCAUCAUGCAAAACCAACCAAUCCAUCCCCAAGAUAACAUCGAACUCAUCAAAUGGUAAGAGCAUCAGAUUAGCCGGGAAACAGUAACCUUGAAUCAUCAAAGGACAAUUCUUGCAAACCUUAUCAACUAAAACAUAUUUGCCUAAAGGGUUUGAUACUUUUACCACAAAUUCAGUGUUUUCAACAGGCAAAUUUUUAUUAGAUGCUAAAUUCACACAUACAUAUGAAUGAGUAGACCCAGGGUCAAUCAAGGCAACAACAUCAAUAUCAUAAAGAGAAUAUGUACCAGUAAUCACAUCGGGAGAUGAUGCAUCCUCACGAGCACGUAUGGCAUAAGCUUUAGCAGGUGUUCGAGGUUCUAAUUUUGUAGCUAUACCCUUCAUUCCACUUUUACCACUAUCUCUAGUUCUGGUGUUUCUCGAUGGUCUACCUCUGCUAAUAGUAUCACUCGAUCUAACAUUCUGAAAUUUUUCUUCUUUAAUUUUCUCAGGGCAAUCUUUAAUAUAAUGUUGUCGAGAACCACACUUGAAACAAGCCCGGCUAAUUAACCAGCAUUCACCAGGAUGUUGUCUUCCACAAUGCUGACACUCUGGUCUACUAGGGUUUAUACUACCCACACUUGAUAUCGAUGUAGCUUGAGCUUCGGAACCCAAAUACAAUUUCCCCGGUCUCGACGUGAAUAUCCAGUUGAAGUAGUCACUCUAGGAUUCAUCUCUUUAGACUUCUUUGACUGAGUUUGAAAUGGUUUACUCAUAGGCCGCUUCCUUGUAUCUUGAGUCUCCAUCGCCGCUUUUCUCUUUUCUUUAUUCAAUUCUUCAGCCUUACAAGCUCGAUCAACCAAUACUACAAAUUCCUUCAGUUCCAACAUCCUAACAAAUAUUCUAAUGUCUUCAUUUAAACCAUCUUCAAACCUUUUACACAUAGCAGCUUCGGUGGGUACACAUUCUGGAGCAUAUUUACUCAUUCUAACAAACUCUCUUUCAUACUUAGCCACGGACAUUCGGCCCUACUUCAACUCGAGAAAUUCCUUGCGUUUUUGAUCGAUGAACUGUUGGCUUAUGUAUUUUUUUCUGAAUUCAUCCUGGAAGAAUUUCCACGUAACCCUUUCUUUCGGAACCACAGAUACCAAUGUUUUCCACCAAUGAUACGCUGAAUCUUUUAACAAAGAUAUUGCACACUUUAAACAUUCUUCGGGAGUACAAGACAAUUCAUCAAAUACCCGAAUGGAAUUUUCAAGCCAAAACUCUGCCUUUUGUGGGUCAUCAUCUAUAUUAGCUCUGAAAUCUUUAGCUCCAUGCUUUCGGAUUUUGUCAACAGGAGGCUUACUUGAUCUUACCAAGUCAACAUUUUGUGGAGCUGCGAGAACCGGUUGAGGAAUAGGAUGGGUGGAGGGGGUUGAACAUUCAGAUUUGCACGAACAAAUUUUGUAUACCAAUUACUCAUCAUUCGAAGGAAAGCUUCCCGAGCCUUAUCCUGACUAUGUGUCUCAUGUCUACUUUCUUCAUGCGCGGUCCCUUGUGCGGGAGCCGGCGUGUUACUUUCAACAUCAUCUGCCACACUUCGAUCAAGAUCCAUUUACUAUAUAAAACAAAAUUUUAAAUUGUCAGAAAUAAUCUCACUAUGACAAUAUUUAAAUGGCAUGUAUAGAUAGACUUUUACACACAUUAUACUAAUCCGAGAACUGGCUAAACCAUAGCUCUGAUACAGGUGGCAUUACAGGUGGCGUUGUUGUUUUUAUAAUUCUCAUCAUCAUCAUCAUUCAAUAAGAUUUAUAUAUAAUUUAAAAUUUAUAAAAUUUUUUAAUUAAUAAUGGUAAAAUUGUAUUUUGGCCUCCCAAAAAUGAUAAAAUUUUAAUUUAAGCCUUUAAAAAUUAUAAAAAUAUAAACUCUUAAAAUGGUGAAAUUACUUGCUAGAGAACUGCUUACUAGUGAUUUAUCUUUUUUCAUGUUUUAGAUGUUUGUUUCAUUUCUUUAAUAUAAAAAAUUAAUAAAAUUACAUUUUUAAUAUCAUAAAAAUAUAUAAUUUAAUUUUGAUGCCCGAAAAAUUUUCUGACUUCACACAUGUAUAUAAAGGUUUUUAUUAUGAGUUUUAUUGUUGUUGUUAUUAAUUAAGAAAAUAAUAGAGUUUUAGUUAAAUUUGAAUCCUACUGUGACCAAAGUCAAAUUUAUUUUCAUCAAGUUACUUCAGCAAUCAAAACUCUUAGUUUUUCUCCAAUACAAAAAUUUUCAUUUGUUUCCUAUAAUAAGGACUUGAUAAGAACUUUCCAAAAAUAAAGUUUUUUUUUUCAAAUUGAACUUUUCACAAGCACUUCUUAUAAUAAUAAUGUCAAAUUAACUCUCAUAUCACAAUAAUUCUCUUACACUCCACCAAACCCCCAUUUCUCAAACAUUUACAAUCAUGCAUCAUAUAUAUAACGUAUAUAUAUUCAUGUAACUUCUGUAACAUCUCAAAAAUUGGGGUUAGUAGAAUCGGGUUUGUAAAUCAAGAGAUAGUGGUCAUGGCUUAAUUUUUAAGAUUAUGUAUGCAUUUUUAAGAAAUAAAUGAGGUAUUGGUUUGUUGGAUAAGUGCUAGUGAAACAUUCUUUGGAACCGAAGUUCAAAUCUCUUCUCUCUCACCAUUUUUAUUAUUUUGUAAAUUUUGCCUUAAACCCUAGUAUGCGACAUGCCUUGUUUUUAAAAUAAAUAUUGAAAAAUUAUUUCAAUAAUGAGGAAGAAGCUUAAUAUUUAAAAGAAAUAUGAGAAAACAUGGAAAUGAAAUGAGGUCCCAAGUUUAAAUCAUUUCUCUUGCGAAAUAAUUUAAAUUUUGGCAAAAAUCCCUUGUUAUUAUUGAGUGUACCACCCAAGCCUAGUAACCCUAGGUAUAAAUGUUAAUAUUUCACAAAUAAUCAGCCUUAAAUCCUCCUCUUCAUUUCCCUAGUUUUUCAUUCCUCCUCUCCCUUUCUUUGAUCUUAUUGUUUUUCCUUUCCUCUAUUAAUGCUGUCGCAUACACCUCCCAUUUUACAAUCUUUUUCUUUUUAUUUUUGCGUCAAGAUUGUGUACCAUCUUCUUUAUUAUAUCAUUUCCAUUUAUCAUCAUCUAAAUCAGCCCCAAAUCUAAAAUCUUGAACACCAAGAACGGAACAUUGCUAAGAAAGUGUCAUUGUCGUUUCUCUCAACUAGCUUGGGGAGAAAAGUUCUUGAUCAAUUAGCCAAUUGGAUCCCACAAAUCGUGAAGUGUGCUGACCCAAACGUACCAAUAAUCAAUAAAGGAGAAGAACAAUUGUACAUACAGUUCGCAUCGAUACAGUGAAUUAUUAAGGAAAAUUAGAAGAUUCGCUAGUGUGCUGCGAGGAAGCGAAAAAUAAGGUGUGGGUCUAAACUCAUAAAAUUGUUUGAAAAUGUUAAAUAUCAUGCUAUAUUUGAUAAAUUAGACUACUGAUUGGAUUGGCUUAAUAUCCAAAUUAUUGAUUUUAUGAGUGGUCGAACCAGGUAUGUUUCGAGACUUAAAAGAUUGACAUGUUGGAAAAAUUGCUAGUUUGAUAGUAUGAAUGUUUGAUUGAGUUUGUAAUUGUAUAUUUGAGUCAUGAGGUAUGAGAAUUUUUGACUGAAUGAGAUAAUGUAUUGAGAUAUUAAGCUUAUGUAUGAUUUAAAUGCAUGAGAUAUUUGUUAUAUUGUGUAUUGAAAAUGGUGUUAUAUAUGCACAUUGAAAAUUUGUAAAGUAUGUGAAACUGAACGAUAUUGAUUGAUACCAACACAAUUGUAAUUUGAAAGAUUGGAACACUAUUUCCAUUUACUGAAAGUAUGUGAUUACAGAGGACAUGCUUAGCAUGUCAAAUGGAUGUGAAAAGUAUUGAGAUAUGACUAUGUAUGAGAUUGUGUGACAUAUGGCAUAAGCAUUGGGUUGGGAUUUUGUGGUUGAUGGAGGAGUUUUGUGGAGUACCAGUGGCAUAUUAAGUCCACAUUAUUCAAAGUUAGUGCACUGCACUUGGAGUAUCGAGGGGAAUGGCGAUUUAUCGCAUUUUUACUGGCAACUUGUCUGCAUUCUUACUGGCAGAAUUUUUUGCAUAUUGUUAUUGGUGGUUUUAACCAUAACGGGUUUAAGCCUAUAAUGUUUUGGAGUUCGGCUAACAGGUUCUGGGGAAUUCAUAGUGUGUAGUGGAUGGUAUGGGUAUGAACCUUUUCGUAUUGCAUCAUGUGCACGACAUAUUCGAAUGUUAUUGCUACGUAUUGUAUUUUAUUGUAUUGAAUGGUAUCAAAAUUAAUGAUUGUUACUCAAAUGAGUGAUGACCUAUACUCAUACAUCGUUGGGCAUCAAUUUGAUAAUGGUUAUGUAAUGAUAUGAAAUUUCUAUGAUCAUUCUGUAUUCUUUUAUUAAUGCUAAUUUAUUUCACUUUAUUCAAUAUUUAUGCUUGUUUAAAUGAUUGUUCGACUCACACUGAGCUUUUCAUAAGCUCACCCCCAAUAGUGUUUAACUUUUCAAGUAAACCUUGAAAUUAGGACAAGACUCGGCAUUUGGAGAAUCACCUUGGACCUCAGAUUGUUUUUUUAAUAAGUAUUAAUCAAUCUCUAAUGGUUUUAGUUUAUAAUUUUUAAUGACUUCUGGUUUGUGGCUUGGUAACUUUUCUUUUGGGAUAUUUGCAUGCAUGGAUUACUCAAGCAUAAUAAUAGGAUAAUGCAUGAUAUCGGGCUUAAGUAAAAUUUGAUAUUUUUUCCUAGUUUCCCCUGCAUUACAAAUGAACCGUUUUUGAAAAACAAAUCAAUAAGGCAAGUAAGUUUCCAAAAUGACUUGAAAAAUAGUUUUUCCUCUACAUUAGUUUAACAUUGAGUAUAUUUUUUAAAGAAGAGAGACAAGCAAAUGGUGUUUUCUAAAACAAUACUAUCAAUAAUAAAAUGAAUCUUAAGCAUACAUGACCUAAUGAAUGAAUGCUUUUAAGCUAAUUUAAAGUACAACUACGAUUUUGUCUAAAGUGAGUUUAUUUAAGGUAUUCAAAAGUAACGUAAGUUAGUUGAGCCAUUUCGAUGGCUAAUGUAGCAUUCUCAAUUUAGUCAUAACGUUUAGGCCGGGUUUUGGAGGUUACGUUUAGUGGUAUCAGAGCCUUGGUUCAAAACCUCGUACUGAGUUUUUAAAUCUAUUUAAGUAAGUCUACAUGCAUGCAUACAUGAAAAAGGGGAAAUUUGGAAAAAUAGGCCACAAUAUAUUUUGAAAAUGAUAUUCUAGAAAGAAAAUCAGGUUUGAGACUCCGAUGUUGGUUGCCAUAGAAAAGAUACUAUGAACUUAUAGGUAAACACUUGAGGUGUAUUACUGUAGACAUAGAAUUGAAAUAGUUAGUAUUUAUUUUUUCUUUGAGAUUGUAAGAUAGGAAACUAAAAAUUAACUGAAGUUAGCUAGUGAUUGUUUUUUUUUGAAAUUGUAGAUCAAAAUUAAGACCAUAGGAUAGAUAAUGAACUACUGUAGAAUGGGGAACCAUGGGGCUCAGCGUCGAGCUGUCAGAUUGCGUCAUUUUCUUUUUAAGGAAUUGUGCCUAACCCUGAGACGAAUGACAUCGUGAUUGCGCCUACUUCUAAAGGUGAAAACUAGGAGGUUGGGGAUGAUGCAGUGUCCCAAGCGAUAUUGGGAGUCUUAGAAAAGGUUUUCAAGAUUAUGGUUGAAAGGACUAAUAUGGAGGGAGAGAGUAAAUACUUAGAGUGCAAGAGAAAGGAAAAGAUUAAAGCUCGAAAAAGGAGAGUGUCUACUUGCACUGGUCCAAAUCUACGACCUUUAAAGUGGGCUAGAGGAGUCAGACCACAACGAAAAGUUGUAGUAGUUAUUAUUGGAGAAAUUGUUAGAUCAGCUAAGGUUUCGAUUUGUAGAUAUUAUGGUAAGCAUAAUCUAGUAGAGUUUCUGUUAAAAUUGAGAAUUGGGGUAAAGGAAUUUGUUAGUAAUGUUUACGUAAUUAGAUCUGCAAGAUAUAUGUUGGGAAUUUUAGAAGACGCAUUGUUUGAAAUUAUGUUGGAAUCAGAGUUGGAUGGCAAAAACUUGGUGGCCCAGUUUGAAGGAAAAUGGGUAAAAUAUUUUAUAACUAAGAAAAUUUCGAGGACCAAAUUUCUUUUAGGAGGGGAGAAUUAUAACAUCUCAAAACUCGGGGGUUAGUAUAAUCAAGUUUGUAAAUUGAGAGAGAGUGUUCAUGGCUUAAUUUUUAAGAUUAUCUAUGCAUUUUUAGGAAAUAAAUGAGGUAUUGGUUUGUUGGAUAAGUGUUAGUGAAACAUUCCUUGAAACCGAAGUUCAAAUCUCUUCCCUCUUACCAUUUUUAUUAUUUUGCAAAUUUUACCUUAAACCCUAUGAUGCAACAUGCCUUGUUUUAAAAAUAAAUAUUGAAAAAUUAUUUCAAGAAUGAGGAAGAAGCCUAAUGGUUAAAAGAAAUAUGAGAAAGCAUGGAAAUUAAAUGAGAUCCCAAGUUUGAAUCCUUUUCUUUGCGAAAUAAUUUAAUUUUUGGCAAAAAAUCCCUUGUUUUUAUUGUGUGUCCACCCAAGCCUUGUAACCCUAGGUAUAUAUGUUAAUUUUUCACAAAUAAUCAACCUUGAAUCCUCCACCUCAUUUCCCUAGUCGUUCAUCUCCUUCUCUCCCUCUCAUUGAUUUUAUUUUUUUAUUUUCCUCCAUUAAUGCCGUCGCCUACACCUCCCAUUUUACAAUCUCUUUCUUUUUCUUUUUUGCCUCAAGAUUGUGCACCCUCUUCUUUAUUAUAUUGCUGCCAUUUAUCCUUAUCUGAAUAAGCCCAAAAUCUAAAAUCUUUAACCCCAAGAUCGAUCCUGAACAUUGCUAAGAAAGUGUUAUUGUUGUUUCUCUCAACUAGCUUAGGGAGAGACGUUCUUGAUCAAUUAGCUAAUUGGAUCCCACAAAUCAUGAAGCAUGCUAACCCAAAGGCCCCAAAUCAUCCGUAAAAGCAAAGGAUGAUUGUACGUAUGGUUCGCAUCGAUACAAUGAAUUAUUAAGGAAAAUUAGAACAUUCGUUAGUGUGUUGCGAGGAAGCGAAAAAUAAGGUGUGGGUCUAAACUCAUAAAAUUGUUUGAAAAUGUUAAAUAUCAUGCUAUAUUUGAUAAAUGAGCUUGUUGAUUGGAUUGGAUUAAUAGCUAAAUUAUUGAUUUUGUGAGUGGCUGAACUAGGUAUGUUUCGAGCCUUAAAAGAUUCUCAGAUUAAACAUAGACAUAUUCAGUUUUCUCUACUUCUCCUUCUUGUUCGGUGGUCAGCUUCUCUGUAGUAGGUUAUUCACCUUCGUCAUCAUCCUUUUUAGGCUCCAACAACAACUUCUUAGGAAAAUCAAGGAAUAAAGGCAUGGGUUUUGUAAAGUUCUUCUGAAGAGAUUUCUUUAGGGCCUUAUCUCUUUAUUGAAUAUACCUCCAAGAGAUAGCCAUUUCCUCUUGAGCAUGACCAAAAUUAGUGGCCAACCUUUAUUGGUGUUUCUCUAGUUUCAAAAAUUGUUGCUGCAAAACCUCUAGAGUCUCGACCACCUACUGCUCAAAUGCAUUCUUAGAGGUUGAUGGAGCAGCAUCAUUGGGCUUGGGUGGAGAAGAUGUCGGGGAAGGAUCUGAAUGCCGUGGCAGUUCUUUUCUAGAAAAUUUCAAAGCAAUAUGCUUAGUGAUAGCACCUUUGUUAGGGAUUCGGUCUUCAUUGGGUUGAAGAGGAAUGCUGACCUUCGGACAAAGUGCAAUGAUAAAUGAUAAAAAAUUUAGAGUAUCGGCAUUUUUCUGAGCAUAGCAAUGGACCUCUCAAAAGAUAAUGUUCCCAACAUUUAUCCUUCAUCCCACCAUAAUCGAAUAGAUUAGUAGCAGAUAGGCCUUUGAGAUUGUAGAAUUGUGGGUGGAUGGAAUGAGACGGUUUUUGAGGAAAUGAUGCCAAAACCUACAGUGGGUCUUCAAAGUUACCCUGUCAAUGGUGUAAUAAUCAUUCCUUGAGACCGUCUAGUUUGUGCCCUCAACACAGACAUCAGUAAGCAUGUGGUUUAAUCUUUCUGCUGUCAUUGUCUUAACAAAAUCAGUGUGUUCAUCAGAACCAUCAAACAAAUCGUAUUGUGCAUUUCUCAAGUCGGCAUCAAAUAGUACUGAAGCACCCCUCACAUAUAUAAAAGCAUUUUUAGGGGAAGUAAGGUAAGCAUAGAACUCAUUUACUACUUUAGGAAAAACAUCGUUAGGAUGGAGACAAAAAAUAUGCCAUCCAUGUUGCUCCAUGACUGAGGAAAUGGCUUCAGUAUAGCCCAUAAAAGGGGCAUCUUGAAAAAGGAAUCCUUUUUCCAUGCACAGAGAGCAUUCAGAGAUUUUUUGGUGGUAUUUGGUUUCUGCUGUCUUAUUGAAGAAUUUACACGGCUGUGCAGUAGUAGAAGUAGAUGGUGCUUAACGAGCCAUUGCAAAGAAGAUGGUAACUGUAAGAGUGAAAAGGGUGACACCUUUAAAAGUUUGGGAUGAAAAUAGAGAGCAAAAUAACAGAGAAAUAAAGUGAAGGUAACAGUGAAGAGGAAACUGAGUCGACUAGGGUAAAAACUUGAAGGGAGAGAAUCUAUGACGUGGGUGAUUGGUUAGGCCUUAAUCAUGGUCUGACAUAAGUACCAGCAAAUAUUUAAGAGGGAAAAAAAUGAAAUACUAAGUAAAUUUAUUAAAAUAAAAAGUGGCUAAGAGAAUGAGUGGGUUGAAGCCUACAAAACUGGGACACAACGUACCUGCAACAAAAAGAAAAUAAAAGUUAACUAAAUUUAUUGAAUCAACUGAAACAAAGACAUUAAAAAUGAAAUAAUUCAAUAAAUAGUGCAGGAGAGAAAUAUUAAUCAGUUUGAAAAAAUGAUGGAAGUUUUAUCACGAAGUAUAGGAGCUCCAAAGUAAUUCUUUAACCGCUGGCCAUUUACUUUGAAAGUAGACCCAUUUAUUUCAUCUUUGACGUCUAUUGAUCCAUGAGGAUAUACCUGAAAAACUUCGAAUGGAUUUGACUAGCGAGACUUUAAUUUGCCAUGAAACAAUUUAAGGCUGAAAUUAAAACGCAAGACUUGUUGUCCAGGAACAAAUUGCCGUGGCAAAAAUUUGUUAUCAUGCCAUCGUUUGUUCUUUUAUUUGUACAGUUUGGCAUUUUCAUAGGCUUGAGUUUGAAACUCGUCCAUCUGAUUCAGCUCUAGUAAGUGAUUAUUUCCAAUAGAUUUGAAAUCCAUAUUCUGUUUCUUGAUUGCCCAGAAUGCCUUGUGCUCAGGAUCAACAGGCAAGUGGCAUGGUUUACCAUAAACAAGUUGGAAAGGUAACAUACCCAAUGGUGUCUUGCAAGCUGUUCGAUAUGCCUACAAAGCUUCAUUCGCGUAAAAAUAUUUUUAUGAAGAAAUUUCAGUACCGAUUUAGUAUAAUUUGUUGGUAGAGUAGAAACUUCAACCCACUUGGAGACAUAAUCAACAACUUGUAUAUAAAUAUUACCCCAAGAAGGUGGAAAUGGCCCCAUAAAAUCAAUUCCCUAAACAUUAAAUAGUUCCACUUCUAAAAUAUUUUGUAAGGGUAUUUCACAUCUUCUGGAUAGAUUUUCAAUUCUCUGACAGUAAUCAUCAGCCUUACAAAAUUCAUGAGCAUCUUUAAAUAUUGUCAGCCAAUAAAAACCAGAUUGGAGAACUUCUGCAACAGUUCAUACACCCCCAAAGUGGCCUCCAUAUGGUGAUUAAUGACAGUGAUACAAAAUACUCUAGAUUUUAUCAUCCGAAAUACAUCUUCGAAUGAUUUGGUUUGCACAUUGCUUGAAUAAGAAUGGCUCGUCCUAGUAGUACUACUUAACAUUGUGGAGGAAUUUCCUUUUUCCUUGACUAGAGAGCUCGGGUGGUAGCAAUCCACACUGACCAGAAAAUUAACAAUAUCAGCAUACCAAGGUAAUGCCAUGGCAACCAACAACUGCUCAUUGGGGAAUUCAUCUUUAAUCAUCUGAAUAUUACCAUAUUGAUUCCCUGCUUCUAGGCGUGAUAAAUGAUCAGCCACUUGAUUUUUUGUGCCUUUCCUAUCUCUAAUCUCAAGAUCAAAUUCCUGCAACAGCAAUAUCCAUCGAAUUAAUCUGGAUUUAGCAUCUUUCUUGGUCACCAAGUACUUAAUAAUAGAGUGGUCCGUAUACAUCGUGACUUCUAGUGCCCACAAGUAAGCUCUGAAUUCGUCGAAGGCAAAUACAAUAGCUAACAGUUGUAACGGGAUUUGUGCACGUGUACACAGUCGUUCAAGUAAUAAGUAAGUAAACAUGAGUUAUCAUCUCCAUAGGGACUCUAUAAGCUUAACCGAUUAAUUGCAAAAUUAUAAUCAACAAUUUAAUGUAAAAAGUCAAUAAUUUGGAUGGUGAUGAUUAAACUAAGUAAAAUUAAUUAGAUGCAAAGAUUGAUCCAUAUAUAAUUCUAAUCUAGAUGUAAUUGAACUAAAUGUUAUGAAUAAAUGGCUUUAGCAACAAAAACAAUCAACAAUAAAUAAGUUAGAAUAAUCAAUUCAAUUUACUUUAUCAUGCUUAACAAUGUUCGAAAAUACUUCCACGGCAACUCGAUCUUUCAUGAGUUUGGAGACCAAAUUAAGUCCUUUUAGAGUCUUUUACUUAGUUAAAUAUGCAUUUUAUUAAUCAUAUUAACUAAGGGUUUCUUAGCAUUUAUGUAAGGUCACAGGGACAUUUACGUUUGAAACAGUUUAACUAUAUAAAAAUAAUGUAAGGCAAUAGAGCUAACUAAAGAUAUUACGAACCUCAAUUUAGUCGGGUUUAAGGAUCUAAAUUGAGCGUUGCACUUUUUAAUUAUAUGUCUACUAGCCACUGACUAGUUAGGAUCGCUCAACUAACCUGAGUACACCCAAUCACGUAUGUAUUAAAUGCAUUAUGAUAUUAAUUGAAAAAUCAACUGAGGCCUAAACAUGAAUAAAAUAGAUCUUAUUGAAUUAACAUAACCAUCCUAGCAAAUACGAUUUAGAAUAUUAUCGUUGAUGUAAAAAAUAAUAAACUCAGAGCAAACAUAAUUAAAAUAGAUAACAAAAGGAAAGAGUAAACUCUAUUCAGUUCAGUAGCCUUUCGGAUCUAUUCUGACAGAUGCGCUCCUUCGUUCUGCUUGAUGCUUCUUUUGCUAAGGAGUUCCUAAGGUGGCCAACCAAAUAAUGCAUUUGACACAACUUUUGUGGCUAAAGGAUGGGAAGGAGAUGGACGUCUAUGCAAGGGGAGGAAAAGGGAAGUGAAAUGUAGAGAAAAUGAGAGAAGAGAAAUGAGUUAUGAGGGAUGUCUUAUGAAUGAGGGAUGAUUUGAAAAGUGAUAGGUACAUGGUAUUUAUAGGUGAAGGUAAGGGGUAGAGUUAGCUAAAAAUAGCAUUUGAAUUCCUUCUUUUUCUACCACACAUGGCCGACCAUAUUUCAAGGAAAAGGAGAUGACUAAGUCUCCUUAGUUUGAAUUCAAACCAAGGCUAUUAAUAGCCAUAAGGGGGGACAGUUUCAACAACAAAGUAGUUGGGCUAAUUUUUAAUUAUUUUCCAACUGUAAGGACCUUCAAUUAAAUGCCCCAAUGCUUGCUUUUGGGCUGCCACCUACUUGUGCCGAAACUGGGCUUUAGAUCCCCCUUGUUGGACGGUUUCUCAGUCCAAUAAUGUAUGAGACAUGUCCAUCCUUUGGCACCUCUUUUACUGGGUCAAACUAUCAACCUCAUGACCCCAAUUGCAUGGUCUUGCCAUCCACAUCAAUUAAUUUGUACAUGUCCAUGUUUCAUUCACAUUAAUCACAUCUUCAAUGUUCCUCCUACAAAGUAAAAAAAAUCACAUAUUAAUAAAUUAACAUGAAAUAAUAUAAAAUAUGUACAAAAAUAAUGUAAUUAAACACAAUUUCACAUACUUUAUAAAUUCAUUCCCAAUAUUACUAAUUAAGUAAAAUUCACUUAUUUUAAUAAUAAUUAUUCAAGAUAAACAUAUUUAUUAAUAAGAUGGUAAAAAUAUAUUGAAAAACCCUAUAUAAUUUUAAGUUUAUAGACCCCCAAAUUUAAACCAUUGCUCGUCCUGAGUAAUGUUCAUACAUAACACAACUUUUGCUAAGGAAAUUUUGCAAAAUGAUAAAAAGGCAUCAAUUUUCUCACAUAAUCAUGUAUUAACAAAAUCGUGCUCAAAAAUACCUUUUACUAAUAAGUAGCUUGAAUGUAAAUAUUAUUUCCAGAUGUUAUACUAAGCACGUCAUAAUGUCAACGUGAUUCAUAGUUUGCAUGCAUUUUCAAAGUCAUACAUAACAUUCACCAAUCAGUAUGCUUUCUUUAUCAACUAAAAAUCACAAUCCCAAUGUUUAAUUAGUGGUCUUCAUAAGUUGAGCUUAGUAAUUCCUCUCCACUAAUGUAGUCGGCAUAAUCAUCCAAUCAAUAGGUCUUUUAUUAGGUUGUAAUAGGGCUAGGCUAAAACUAGGGAUAAAGAGAAGUGAAUUUUGAGGUUCAAUCAUCUUAAUCCUAACUUGUCUUGGAUCUUUCUAUGUCACAACCUUCAUAAAAUUGGGUCUUUGGAACACCUCUAAACUUAUUUCGAGCUCAUGCUCAACCUUUACUAUUUAGACUUUGAGCAAACUUUACUCUUUAUUUUUGAGAAUUUGAGCAAUCUUUUCUUUUCUUUUUAUUCUUUUGAACAAACUUACCUUUGUUUUUUUUUUUGAAUCAUGUGAAGAGCUUGUACAUCUUUUCAUAUCUUUCCUCAAACUUUGAUCACCAAGACAAAUUCAGUUAAUGUAGGUGCAAAAGAAAAGGAUAAAAUAAAAAAAGAUGAUAAUGUGGCUUAUAAUGUACGUACUUUGUAAUAAACAGGCCAUUAAGCUCAAAAAUUUUCAAGGGUUAAUUUAAUAAAGUCGGCUUGCAAGGCUCAAACGAUCCAAAAAAAUGUGCCUAUAUCAUAGUAGAUUCUUAUACCUCCUAGGAUUUCACCUCAAGAAAGUUACUAAGUAAAAUCUAAAUACUUAAAGCUUUAUACAUGUCUAUUUAUAAAGAAAUCAAAUUUUCAUGGCAAAUACUACAUAAGACUAAAGAUAAUACAAGCAUUCCAUCAUUCAAGACAACAUACAAAUAACUUAGAUAAAAUUAGAAAUCAUGCUUGCAUUUGAACAAACUUAUGAACAAAAAUUCUUUCUGAACAUUCAUUCAUUUCAGCAUACUUAAGUAAAAAGAUUGAAAUCAUACUUUAAAAUUCAUGCAAAAUACCUUAUUAAAAAUUCAUGUGAAAUGUCUUACCCCCUUUAAAAAGAAGCAAUGUCCUCAUUGUGAAAACAAAGUAAUGAAUGAAAACUGAACACCAGGUAGGGUUGCAAGAAAAGAGAGGUGAGUCAUAAAGACUACUUAAGUACCAAGUAUUUCUUAACAAUCCAAUCCUAUACAUGUUCAUUCCCAUUAGCACAUCACUUUAUUUUAUUCUAUUAAAGAGGCAUUGAGCUUAUUUAUUCACGCUUGCUAUUUAAUUAUGCAAAAGCAAAAUUCUAACUAAGAAAUAAAAAUAAACACCUAAAAAGAAAUAAAAAUUAAAGAUAAGAAAUUCCCUCAUUUUAUUUAUUUGACUUAUCCUUCUCGUCUUCCUCCUUUGAUGUUUCAUUCUCGCUUGCAUUCUCAUAUUCCUUCCAUGACUCGGAGAUAUAAUCUGGGAACUCAAGAACAAAAUUGUUAGAGAAUUUUAAAAGUAUUUCUUACGGAAUCAUCUCUAACUUUUUCAUAUUUCCAAUAAGCCUGUUGUUGGUUAUGCAUAAAUUUCAUCAUAUCCAUCAUAAUUUACAAUUUCGAUUUCUUUCUAGUGUUUGAAGAAGUGGGCAUAGGAAUAGUCAACUCAAGAUCAAUACUUGGUUCAACUGGCUCAUCAGCAUUCAGUUCCUCUCUUGGUUUAGAGACUUUCAGUUCCUUUAUCGGUUAUAGAUUACUUGGUUCUUCCUCAGAUUCUACUUCUUUUAUCUGAGUAAUCGAGUUAGCCUCUAUUUUGGACUUGUUCCAUGACUUAUCAGUUUCUAGUUCAGUUGGUUCACUUGGUUCAGUUGGGUUUAACUCAUGGGCAUUCUCCACUAACCUUUCAAUAUCAUGGGCUGUGAUGCAACCUUGAACAGAUGGGCCCUUCAAGUUUGCUUUUUUUUUUUAGCUUGGGCCCUUAAGCAAAGUGAAGUUAUCAAUGAUGGGAAAUAAACACUUCUAGUCUUCUUUCUAGCAUAAUUAUGGAUCUCCUUAUGAAUAAUGUUCCCAACAUUGAUAGACUUUUCUGUCAUAAUUGCAUACAAAAAAGUAUUCGCUCCAUCAAGAUGGUGGAACUGUGUGAGAUAGACAUGAAACUAUAUCGAAAAAAAUUAAAACCAUACCUUAGCCAAUAGUUUUAGAUAUUCCCUUUGGCAAGAAUGACUACCAUACUUUCUUAUAAUCCAUUGGGAUCCGGUAUUUGUCAAAAUAUUAAGCACUUAUUGAAGUAAAUCCCAAUUUGUAUUUGUCAUCAUGGCAAAGUACUCAUCUUCUUCAACAUCAGUUAGGUUAAACAAAUCAUUAAUGGAUUUACAAGUUAGGGAUACUUUUUUCUUGCGGACAACAACUUCAGUAGCAUCUGACUUAGUCAAACUAGCGUAAAACUCUUGAACUAACUCCUCAUCGGGUAAUGAUCGUGCAUCACAAAAAUAAUUCCAAUUGAGGGCAUCAGUUUCAAAUUGGCCAAGGCACAACCAUCUUAUUAUUGCUCUCUAAGUUGAAAACUUUUUUUGGCAUCAUAGGUUGAUUUUUGAAGAUGGAAUCAAACCAUUCUUUCUCUUCUUCAUCUUGAAUCACAAUGUGAUUUUCGACAGAGGUCUUGGAAGAUCUAGUUCAUCUGCGAGACUUGGUGAUUUUUCUUAAAAAAUAGGGAAAAAUUAGGUAAUGGAUGAAAUAAGGUGUUUGCGGUAGUGAUAGGAUGUGACGGUAAUAGGGUUGUUCUGGCAAAAGGCUCGUAACGGUAAUAAGCUAGGGUUUUUGUAACAAAGGAAGGAAAUUUGGGGAGAUUUUAAAGAUUUAGGCUGACAGCUAAGAGGGAAAAAAGUAGUUAGGGUUUAGGCUAAUUUCUUGAAGGGUUGUGAGAAACAUGGUGGUGGGGAAAGGUUUAUAUAAUGAUGAAUUAAGGCAAACUUGUAGCAAAAAUUUAGCUACAAAAGGUGACUUGGGCAACAAGUAUAGAAGAAGGGUAAAAAUGGUGAAAAAAUUAGGGUUUUGGAGAACCCUAUGGACAAAAACCUAUGAGACCUCCACCAUGCGCCUCUUUAAUUAGCACAUCUCGAAUGGAACCUUGAGGCAUAUACAAUUUACCUUCUUUAAAGAGGUAUCAGUCAUACUUAUAGUACCUUUUGAAUGCCCCAUUUUCACAAGCUUUGUAGAUUUCACCAAAAUCAACAUUAGUUUCAUAAAGUUCCUUAAGAUAAAGCCAAGUAAUUUAGAGUCUAAAUUAUUAAGAAGUGCAUACCUUUUUUAUAAUACGUCCGUAAUGAAAAUCUAUUUACCUUUCUUAUAUUUAAUCUCGUAAGGAAACAAUUCAUGGAAUUCCACCCAUUUGGCAUGUCUCUUAUUUAACUUGUUUUGCCCAUUGAGAUAUUUUAAUGCCUCAUGGUCAUUGUGAAUGACAAAAUCCUUGGGUUAUAGCUAGUGUUGCCAAGUUUCCAACGCUCGGAUUAAUGCAUACAUCUCCUUAUUGUAUGUUGGGUAAUUAGGGGCAGCACCAUUUAAUUUCAAACUAAAGUAUGCUAUGGGGUGCCCAGUUUGUGUUAGAAUAACUCCAAUCCUUAUCCGUGAAGCAUCACAUUCAAUCUCAAAAGUUUUUAAAAAAUCAGGUAAAGAAAACAAUGGUGCUUUUGUCAAGCAAUCUUUAAUCAAAGUAAAAGACUUAUCUUGUACCUCACCCCAAUCAAAGUUUGAACUUUUCUUGAUAAUUCCAGUUAAAGGAGCAGCUAUGAUGCUAAAAUAAGGGACAAACCUUCGGUAAAAACUAGCAAGACCAUGAAAACUUCUUACUUGGCUUAUGCUAGUAGGUAGUGGCCACUAUCGAAUUGCUUUUACCUUCUCUUGACUAACUUCGAGGCCUUUUGAGCUAACCAUUAAACCUAGAAAAACAAUUUUGUUAGUACAAAAGGAACAUUUUUUAAGAUUUGCAAAUAAAUUUCCUUCCUUAAUACUUCCAACAUGGAUUUCAAAUGAUGAAUAUGAUUUUCCAAAGAUUUGCUAUAAAUAAAUAUACCAUAAAAAUACACUACAAAAAUUUACCAAUAAAGGACCAAAGAUCAUGAUUCAUUAAUCGCAUAAAGGUGCUUACUGCGUUAGUUAGGACAAAGGGCAUAACCAACCACUCAUACAAACUGUGCUUGGUUUUGAAUGUGGUUUUCCAUUCGUCUCCUUCUCUCAUCCUUAUAUGAUGGUAGCCACUCUUUUGAUCUAUUUUUGAGAAAAUGCGAGCUCCACUUAGCUCGUCUAUCAUGCCAUCUAAGAGUGAGAUCGGGUGUCAAUACUUGAUGGUAAUCUUAUUAACUGUGCGGCAGCCGAUGUGCAUGUGCCAAGAGCCAUCUUUCUUUGGUACCAACAGCACGAACACGACAUAUGGGCUUAGGCUUUCUCGAACAUACCCCUUUCCCAUUAACUUGGUAACUUGUCUUUGUAGCUCCUUGGCUUCUUCAAGGUUGCUUCAAAAGCUGGCUAAUUCAGGAUUGUGGCUUCGGGAGUAAAGUCUAUUUGAUGCUCGAUGCCCUUAAUGGGUGGCAACCCACUUGAAAUGUCCUCUAGGAACACAUCCUCGAACUCCUAUAGCAAAUACAUGAUAGAAUAAGGAAGAGUGUUAUCUAAACUGUUAGGACUAAAAAAAUUUUCCUUGUACAUGAGCACUAUUUCGUUCUUUAGUGGUGUCAAAAAUAGUGGCUUCGAGACCACAAAUUUGACGAGUGAGUUUGUGAAUAUUAUGAAUUAAUAUUUAUCAGUUAAAUUUAUUAUUAUUUAAGUUUUGAUUCAAUAAAUUUUGCUAAUUAAUCGUAUAGUCAAGUUCGAGUGGUUAAAUUUUGAAGGCAAGUGGUUUUAAAAAAUGAGGUAUCAAGACCUCGUUUCUAUAAACUGAGCCGAUAAAUAUUUUAUUAAAUAUUUACGGACUGUUAUUAGGGUUAUAUUAAAAAAUUGGUUAGGAAAAUUUAAUGUUUCAUUGGUUAAUUAAAGAAAAAGGAUUAAACUAUAAAAUUUGUAAAAGUUGCUUGCUAGUAAUUUUCUUAGUUCAAUGGUCUAAUUAGUUAAGAUUGAAGUAUUUAUGUUGCAAAUAAACCUUAGUUAAAAAAGGUGGAUGGUCAAAUUAUGGAAUGGAUUGAAAAUUUGGUGUUUUAUUAUAUUUUAUUUAAUUAAAUAAAAGUUAUAAUAUUAAUAAAAUAAUAGAUAGUGAUUUCACCGUCUUCAUUUGAGUUCACCUACCGAAAUGAAAACCUAAAAACUCCAUUAGAGGACCUUUAUAUAUGGAAAAACAAAAGUUAGAGCAUGUAAGUGAUUUCUUGAUUAAUUUUUCAUGAAUUUUACAUUUUUGUGAUUGUUUUCUUGAUAUCUAGUUAAAUUAGGGAUUAAUUUGAGAAACUGUCAAGUGUUAGAAAAUUUAUUAUUAAUGUUUUAGAAAGCUUUUUCCUUGAAAGAUUAAUUGUUGGGUGUUUGAUGUGGAUUUUGAGUUAUUUUCUUAAGUAAAUUUUUAUACAUUUUGAAAAUUGGGGAUUUAUUAUAUUAAAAUUGUAAAUGAGAUGGAUUUCAUGAGAAAGUUUAGAAUUUUAGAAUUGUAUAUGUAAGGUUAAAUAUUCGACAAUUUUGGGUUUAUGUAUUAGUUGUGGGAAUUCGCUUGUUUAGUAAUAGGAUUAGAUUGUAUAAAAUGUAAAUAUAUGGGCAAAUGUACAACAGUGUAAAUAAGUGAAUAUAUGUAUUGAAUUGAAUAGUUUAUAAAUUAAAGGUUAAUAAUUGGAAUAAACCAUAUUAUAGAUCAAGAGCAAGUUGAUAAUCGAGGAAAAGAGGGAAUAGUGGAAUAGUUCCUAAACUUUUAUUGUUUCUGCAGUUUAGCCCUGGUAAGUUCGUUUAAGGAUGGAAAUUAUUAUCUUUUCCAUUUUGGAUGAAGGUAAAUAGUUAUUUAUUUUAUGUUAAAAAAUUCAUUGAUAAAGAUGUAAUAAAUUAUUAUUAUGGUUCAAAUAGGGGAAUUAAUCAAAAUAAAUGAUAUGAGAGCUAAUACUAAUGUAUUUAGUGAUGUUGUAUUAUAGAUUGUCUAUUUAAAUGUUACUUUAAUUAAAGUAACUUCAGGGAAAUUAAAUUAUUAAAUAUAAUUCACUUGAGUCUUCUAAUGUUGUUUUCUAGUUUAUGGAAUUAUAUAUAUAUGUGAGCUAUCUUUUGUUAUUUAUAUAACAAUGAGAAUUGCAAGUAUCACACACAUAUAUAUGAAAUUAAGAAAAGAUUGAUAGUACUAAUUCUUGGAGUUGAAAUAAAUUAUCUGUGAAUGUAACGAGUUCUAUCGUACACGGAAAUGAAGAAGUGCCCCUAUUAGCACUUCGAUGCCCCUGUAUACACUUUGGUGUCCCUGUUUGCACAUCUAUGCCCCUAUUCACACUUUGGUUCCCCUGACUGAACGUAUGUGCCCAUGUUCUACAUCUACGGUGCUAUAAAAAUCCGAUGUGAUAACAAUGGAGCCGUCCUCAGAUUUCCAUUCCCAAAAUAUGAGAGGGAAUUGCCACGGUAAGGGCCAGGGGUGCGGGGGCGGAGCGAGGUACGAACCGCAUACCCCAGUCAAAUGAAACCUCACGAUUUGAUAAAUUUUAUCAACAAAAUCAUGUUUUUCAGGAUUUUAAUCCUUGAGGUUUUAUACCAGAACAACCCUUGUUCCAUUAACCAAUUAACUCUUAUUGGAAAUUGUAAAUACCACCGUCGCAUCAUUACAGAUUUGUUAACAGUUAACAGUAAUGACAUAAAACCGAAUAGGCCACAACCCAUGAUUAACAUUUAAUCAAUUAUCGAAAGGAACAAUUAUCAGGUUAUGCUUAGACGAUUUAAACAGUCGAAAACGUAAUAAAAUUAAAGCAUGCAUUGCAUACAAUUACAUCACCCAAGUAUUUAAACCCGAGUCCAUAUCACAUAAGUGGCUCUGAUACCAUUUUUGGAUACCGGUACCCCCAUGGCAUAGGAAAAAUUAAUAAAAAAUAGUUUCGGCGAUCCAACCCAUGGAUCCAUGUGCGAGGAAUGAAUCGGGGUGAAAUAAUAGUUUCAAAAUUACCGAAACUUCAAUCUAAGUAGACAGUGACGCCUCGACAACGAGAAUUCUGAUCUACUAUCGAACCAAGCCGCAACCUUUUAUGAUUCUGACCUCUACGUAAUCCACCCAGUUUAACAAUGAACGAAAGAAAUCUCUAAAAUUGUUUUUGGAGAAUUCUUUGCUUGACGGCUGCUAGACCUCACAAGCAAAGUUUUUUUUUAGGUUUUUUUUAAAACUCUCUACGUAUCACCCUUUUAUAAUUGGUAUAUAUAUAAUGAAUUAUAAUUCAUAAAAUUUUUAUCCGAACAUAAUAAUCAUAAUUAAAAUAAAUAAAUAUAAUAAUGUUUUUCACCAAAAAUUAUAAUUACAUUAAUUAUAACAAAGAUUUCGGUAAACUAUAUUUAUUUAAAUUUAUAUACGAACCAAAUUCAUAUAUUAAUAGAACUAUGUUCUCAUUAUGUGUACAACAUCCUUGUACAUAUAAUACAUUCGAUAUUUGAUUGCCCAAUUAAAUUAAUUUUAUAAUUAAUUUAAUUCAUGUGGCAACCAAACACAAUACCAACUAUGUUUUAUUCCGUUCAUUUCAACCAUAGGGUGUGACCCUGUAGGUUCUUGUAACGUUAGCAGUAAUACUAGAAUGAUUUUAAUGUUACAAAUAAUGAGUGGCAUCUAGCAAUGCAUCAUUGCUACCUAAGUUACAAGAAGUCAUGAUUCGACAUAACCUUUUUUUGUGAUUAACCUUUCAUGCAUUAAUCCUUAAGUCCUUUAUCUCUGGAAUGGACACAAGUCAUGGAAUAGUCACACUUGCAUAGUCCAUCCCAUAUUCCUUGAUAUCUUGAGUAGACUAUGAUAUAUAAAUAAGUAUGACAUCUCAUAUCAACUUAUUUGAGCAUGGCCAUGCAUUUCUAGUCUCACUCAAUCAAGUGGCCUAAUAUAUUACUCCCAUUAUGUAGGAGGGAUUUAUCCUAUAUUGAUCAACCGUAUCCUUCUACAUAGGUUGUGGUAUAUACAACAUCAGCCUUUAUAGAACAACUAGUUAUGAUAUACUUUUGACUGUAUCAAAAUAUACAACUCACGAUGUUGGGAUAAUGAUGAUCUCAAGUCUAAGGAUCAUAUAGAUAUUAAUCACUAUGAGUAAUGUUGUGACAAUUACAUAAUAAUCCAAGAAACAUACUCAUAGCGGGUCAGUCCAAUAUGUUCUUUAACACACAUAUUCAUACAUUGAUUUUGACACUCCAUAUCAAUGACAACUCUUUAUCAUCAAUCAACUACAUGUUAGUCUUAAUGCAUUAUUGUUGUCCUAGUCAACAAUAAUACUUGACUAAGGAUCUUUUAAGAAUAAUCAUAUUAUUCUCACGACAUUAUUAUAAAACAAUUUAUUUAUACACACAGAAAAGAAAAUGAAAUAAUAAUGGCAACGCCUUAUAUGAAUAAACAUGGUAAAUCAAGUAUGUUAUUACAACCAUCUCAUGACUGAUCUUUGGACAUACUCUUACAUUUAGCUUGUUUAAGGGGUUAAUUUGGAAGCACACGGCCUGGGACAUAGGCUAUCACAUAAUCGUGUACCACACACGGUCACCCCACACGGUCGUGUGUGCUCUAUUAGUUUUGGUAUAUGUUACACAUAGUCUGUGACACGGGCUGAGACAUGGCCGUGUAUCUCAAGUUAGUGAGUUACAUAGCCUAUGACACGGGCUGAGACAUGACUCUGUAUUCCAACUUCGAAUGCUCACAUAGUCUGACCUAUGUAUGGGACCCCUAUUAAUCAAAUUUUCAAGUUUUUCCUAAAAUUUAUGUUUUAAUUCAUUUUGAUCCCUAAUUACUUUCAAACUAAUUUUAAGGUCCCGUAAACCUAGAUUAAGGCCCAUGUGAAUAUCUAUUCUAUGAAUUGAUAUAUAUUUAUAAAAUAAUUGCAUAUUUGUUUUGACUUAAGAUAAAUUGUUCUGUUUGGCUCUGUAACACUCUGAUCCUUAAUCUAGCAACGGAGAUGGGAUUUGGGUGUUAGAAGUACAAGCAAAGGAUGCUUCAAAAGCAAAAACUUUUUGAUUUCUCUUUAUUUUUGCAAAAACACCGAACUUUCCCAACUCACACUCUUCUUUUGUUUCAUUUUUCUCUUAUGUUUUUUACUCUCGAUUUUUCAUAAAUCUCUCUUAAAUGGAGCUGAUCUUCAUAAACUUGUUUGGGGGUAAGUGGUGCCAAAGUAACGUUCUUCCUUUGAUGUUCGAAGGUAUACCAAUUGGCAUAUCCAUCAUACAAUACUUGACAAUCAAAUUGCCAUGGUCUCUCCAACAAUAAGUGACCAACAUGCAUAUGCACUACACCAUAAAGAACUUCGUCACUGUAUUUGCCAAUCGAGAAAGUGAAGACAAUUAGCUUAGUAACUUUGAGCUCACCAUCGUCGUUGAGCCAUUGAAGCUUGAAAGGAUGUGGAUGCUUGGUGGUUGCUAGAUGUAACUCGGUUUGUGCAAGUGUACACAGUUGUUCAAGUAAUAGGUAAGUAAAAUGAGUUAUCAUCUCCACAAGGAUUGUGUAUGUUAAUCGAUUAUUUGUAAAAUUAUAAAUUCACAAUUUGGUAUAAAACUCAAUAAUUUGAAUGGUGGUGUUUAGACUAAGUGAAAUUAACUAGAUGCAAAGAGUGAUCCCUAAUGCAAUUUUUAAUCUAAAUCUAAAUUAUCUAAAUGUAUGAAUGAAUUAGCAACAAAAACAAUCAACAUUAAAUGGGUUAGGAUAAUUAUAUUAAUCAAUUCAAUUUACUUUAUCAUGCUUAACAAUGUUCAGAAAUACUUCCAUGGCAACUCGAUCUUUCAUGAGUUUGGAAACUAAAUUAUGUCCUAUUGGAUCUUUUACUUAGUGAAAAUUUCAUUUUAUUGAUCAUAUUAGACUAAGGGUUUCUUAGCAUUUAUGCGAGGUGGCAGUGACAUUUAUGUUUGCAACAGUUUAAUCACAUAUACCUAAAAACUAUGCAAGAUAAUAUAGCUAACUAAAUAUAUUAUGAAACUUAACUUGGUCGGGUUUAAUGAUCUAAAUUGAGUAUUUCACUUUUCAAUUAUGUGUCUACUAUUCAUCAUCUUGUUAGGAUCGCUCAGCUAAUCAAAAUGCACCCAAUCACGUAUGAAUGAAAUGCAUCAUGAUAUUAAUUGAAAACAUGAUUGACUUAGGCCCAAACAUUAAACAUGAAUAAAAUAAAUCUUAUUGAAUUAACAUAAUCAUUCUAGAAAAUAGGAUUUAAAAAACCAUAGUUUAUGUCAAAAAUAAUAAACUCAAAGAAAACAUAAUUAAUAUAAAUAACAAGAGGAAAGAGUAAACUCUAUUCAGUUUAGCAGCCUUUCAGAUCUAUUUUGACUGAUAUGCUCCUUUGUUCUGAUCGAUACUUCUUUACUAAGGGUUUCAAGGUGGCUGACCAAAGAAUGCUUUUGACAAAGUUUUUUUGGCUAAAGGAUGGAAAGGGAGAUUGUGGCUAUGCAAGGGUAAGGAAAAUAGAAAUGGAAAAGAGAAUGAUGAAUGAGAGAUGAGUGUUGAGGUAUGAGGGAUGAUUUAAGAAGUGAUAGGAGCAUGAUAUUUAUAGGUGAAGGUAAGGGGUAGAGUUUUCUAAAAAUAGAAUUUAUAUUCUUUACUUUUCUCUCACAUAUGUUCGGCCACAGUUCAUGUAAAAGGGGAUGACUUAGUGUCCUCAUUUUAAAUUCAAACCAAAGCUAUUAAUAGCCAUAGGGUGGACGGUUUCAACAGUAAAGUUGGUGGGCUAAUUUCUAAUUAUUUUCCAACUAUAAGGACCUUCAAUUAAACUUUUGGGUAGCCAUCUACUUGUGCCGAAACUGGGCUUUAAUUCCCCAUUGUUGGACGGUUUCUCAGUCCAAUAAUUUAGUAGAUUUGUCAAUAUUUUACUGGGUCAAAUUAUCAACCUCAUGACCUAGUUUGCAUGGUCUUGCCAUCCACAUGAAUUGAUUUAUGCAUGUCCAUGUUUCAUUCAUAUUAAUCACAUCUUCAAUGGUCCUCCUAUAUAGUGAAAAAUCAUAUAUUAAUAAAUUAACAUGAAAUAAUAUAAAAUAUGUACAAAAAUCAUAUAAUUAAGUAGAAUUUCACAUACUUUCUAAAUUCAUACCCAAUAUUACUAAUUAAGUAAAAUUCAUUUAUUUUAGCAACAAUUACUCAAGAUAAACAUAUUUAUUAAGUUAAAAUAUGGUAAAAAUAUAUAGAAAAACCCUAUAUAAUAUCGAGUUUACACCCUCAAACUUAAACCAUUGCUUAUCCUGAGUAAUGUUCAUGCACAACACAACUUUUGCUAAGGCAAUUUUGCAAAAUGAUAAAGUAGCAUCAAUCUUCGCACAUAAUCAUGCAUCAACAAAAUCAUGCUCAAAAAUACUUUUUAUUGAUAAGUAGAUCGAAUGCAAAUAUUAUUUCCAAACCUUAUACUAAGUACAUCAUAAUAGAAACAUGAAUCAUAGUUUGCAUGUGCUUUCAAAGUCAUACAUAACAUUCACCAAUCAAUAUGCUUUCCUUAUAAACUAAACAUAGAGAUCCAAAGGUUUAGUUAGUGGUCUUCAUAAGUUCAUUUAAUAAUUUAUCUCCACUAAUGUAGUCGAUAUAAUAAUCUAAUCAAUAGGUAGGGAUAAAGGUUGUAAUGGGGCUAGUCUAUAGGUAGGGAUAAAGAGAAGUGAAUUUUUAGGUUCAAUCAUCUUAACCCUAACUUGUCAUGGAUCUUUCUGUAUCACAACUUCGAACAAUUGCUUCUUUGGAACACCCUCAAACAUAUUUCGAGCUCAUACUCAACCUGUACUUUUUCAGACUUUAGGCAAACUUUUCUUUUCAUUUUAUUCUUUUGAACAAACUUACAUUUGUUCAUUCAUUCAUUUUUUUUAUUUUUUUAAACAUGUGAAGAACAUGUACAUCUUUUGUAUUUUUCCUUAAACUUUGAUCACUAAGAUCAAUUCAGUUAUGAUAGGAGCAAAAGAACAUGAUAAAAUAAAAAAAUAUGAUAAGAUGACUUAUGGUGUAGGUAAUUUGUAAUAAAUAGGCCAUUAAGCUCAAAACUUAAGUUUCAAGGGUUAAAGUAAUAAGGUUGGCUUGAAAGGCUCAAACGAUCCAAAGAAAGUGUUCCUAUAUCAUAUUAGAUUCUUAUACCUCUUAGGAUUUCGCCUCAAGAAAGUUACUAAUUCAAUUCUAAAGACUUAAACUUUCAGACAUGUUUAUUUCUAAAUAAAUCAAAUUUUCAUGGCAAAUGCUACAUAAGUCUAAAGAACAUUCAAGCAUUCCAUUACUCAAGAUAACAUAAGAAUAACUUAGUUAAAAUCAGAAAUCAUGCUUACAUUUGAACAUACUUAUGAACAAAAAUUCUUUCUGAACAUUUAUUUAUUUUAGCAUACUUAAGUAAAAAGAUUGAAACAUACUUUAAAAAUUCAUGCAAAAUACCUUACCCCCUUUAAAAAGGAAUGUCAUUAUUGCGAAAACAAAGUAAUGAAUGAAAACUGAACACCAGGUAGGGUUGUAAGAAAAGAGAGGUGAGUCAUAAAAACUGCUUAAGUACCAAGUCUUUCUCAACAAUUCAAUCCUAGACAUGUUCAUUCCCAUUACAACAUCACUUCACUUUUCCUAUUGAAAAGGCAAUAAGCUUAUUUAUUCAUGGAUGCUAAUUUAUUAUAAGAAAGAAAAAAAAUUCUAACUAGGAAAUAAAAAUAAACACAUAAAAAGAAAUAAAAACUAAAGACAAGAAAUUCCCCCGUUUUAUUUAUUUGACUUAUCAUUCUCGUCUUCCUCCUUUGAUAUUUCAGCCUCGCUUGCAUUCUCAUCUUCCUUCCAUGAAACAAAAAUAUAAUCUGGGAACUCAGGAACAAAAUUGUUAGAGAUAUUUUUAAAAGUGUUUCUUACAGAAUCAUCUUUAAUAUUUGCAUAUUUCCAAUAAGCAUGUUGUUGGUUAUGCAUAAAUUUCAUCAUAUCCAUCAUAAUUGAUAAUUCUGAUUUCUUCAUAAUGUUUGAAGAAGUAGGCAUAGGAAAAGUCAACACAAGAUUAACACUUGGCUCAACUGGCUCAUUUGUGUUCGGCUCUUCUCUUGGUUCAAAGGCUUCUCAUUCAUUUAUCAAUUCUAGAUUGUUCGGUUCUUCCUUAGAUUUUGCUUCUUCUGUCUUAGUAACUGAUUUAGCUUUCAUUUUAGAUUUGUUCGAUGACUCAUCAAUUUCUGGUUCUAUCGGUUCACUUGGGUUCAGGUCAUGGACAUUCUCCACUAGCCUUUCAAGAUCAUGGGUUGUGUAACACCCCAAACCCGACCUAAGAGAUAUGGCCGAAUCUGGUGGUGUCACACUGAGGUGUUUAGCAUAAAACUUGUUGUCGUUGAAAUAUUUAAAAUUAAUUAAUCAUUUUGUUAUUAGACGGUGAUUCCAAAACGGGUUGUUCAUUUCGAAGCGUGCAUCAUUAAAAGCUCAUCACUUUUAAACGUUAUAAAUUUUCCAAAAUAUCAUUUAUUGGGGAAGUUUUUUUUGGAAAUGUUACAAAAAUGUGGUGUUUACACACCUGAUGCGAUUUGCAAAUUCCCUUCGUUUCGAACACUCUUAUUCGAAACUCAAUGACCAUCGCACCCUUGGUUCCCAGGGAAUGUGCCAAUCAACCUCGACCACCACCAAUACAAAAGUCACCAUCUUUAUAUUAGACUCAUACUUGACAAACCAUCUCAAUUGCACCCGACUUACCACUCAAUACCGUUUCUCAAAAAGUAAUAGAUUACUCCUUAUCAUACCAUAACCACUUACCAACAAUGAUAAAACAGAUUGCAGAUCAGAGAUGUAGCGUACAAAGAAUCGAGAAUCAGGAUUAAUCUAUCAGUAUUCGGCUAAUGGAGAGCACUUGAGAGAGAGGAAGAGAAAAAUUGUGUGCUCUCAAUUGAUCGACGAACCCUUACCAAAGCCGAGCGAUAUUCGAUAGAGCUUAAAAAAAGAAGGGAGAAUAGACUAGGAGAGAAAAUCAAAAAGAAAAAUGGUAAAGGAGGAGAGAAGCUAUAUUCAACCAAGUUUGAAAGAAAAGAAACGAAACCCAAAUUCUAACUCUCACCAAAUUGGCAACAACCCCAAAUCCCAAAAAUCCCUGCUCCAAAUUCAGCUACACACUCUCCAUCCACUUCCUAUCCCUUAAUUUCUACUAUUAUCUCUUCACAACAACAACCUCCCCAAAUCCCAAUAUUCUCUCCUCAAAUCUCUCCAAAUAUCCUGCCUCAAUUCUCUCUAUGACCAGUUCAAACUCCAUUUAGCAGUAUUUCAAUCCAACUCUACCACCCACACGAAUUAGGCAACAAAAUAAAUACUCCCUUUUUGAUGCACUACCAGUCGAACCUUAGACCCCAUGUACACUCCACACGCCCCUUACCACUAGACCACCAACCCCUUCGUAUCAUAUUUUAACCACAAUAAUUUAAGAACCUACUGUCUAAAUUCAAUGAUUUUAUUCAUUUAAAAUAAAAAUUUUGCAUAAGCCAAGGCUUGAACCGCUAACUUCUCAGACACUUCCAAACACUCCUAAAUCAGUUAACCAUUGAAGUAGACAAUCAUUUAUUUCACUUCCUUGCACAACUAAAUAUUUAUGUGCAGUCUCCUAACAGCUCCCUUGUUCAAAACUAUUUCUUUUAGGCCCAAAAUUCGUGGUGUUACAAUUCACCCCUCCUUAAAGAAAUUUCGUCUUCGAAAUUUCCAAUAAUCAGAUCAGUCGCAUAACACAGGCUCCACCACUACGCUUCUGCUGCGCACUCUAGUUCCAAAUUAGGUAUAUGGCCAAACGACGAGGACCCAUCUCUAACACCGCUACGACCUCUACCAUGGCCUCUUGUACCUCGUCCGUGUGUACCUCUUUGCUCAUAUGAAAUAACGUAUUAUCAGUUUAAGAAGUUUUAUGUAAUAGUUUGUAAUUCCAGUAGUUAUUAACAUUUAUCUUAUGAAAAGCAGUAAUCAGAGUUUUGUUUUCACAAAUCAAGGUCUCCCUACAGUUUCCAUAUUCUUACAGUCUCAAUUUACUCUAACUAAUGAGUUUCAGUACAGUCCUACUAUCUAUAAUAGUCUCUCAGUGUAUUUCAGUUCAAGCAGUCUACAGUAUAAAGAAAACUUAUGGAUUCUGCGCUGGAGACUCGGUGUGCCACACUUGUAAACCUUCCAAAACACUUCAAGAACAGUUUUAAAGAAAUUCCAAAUAUUUUCAAAACCCAUUCCACAGCCGAGUUUUACAACUUGGCUCUGAUACCACUAAAUGUAACACCCCAAACCCAGCUUAAGAGUUAUGGUCGAAUCUGGCGGUGUCACAUUGGGGUGUUUAGCGUAAAACUUGUUGUCGUUGAAAUCUUUAAAAUCAAUUAAUCAUUUUGUUAUUAAACGGUGAUUCAAAAAUGGGUUGUUCAUUUCCAAGCGUGCAUCAUUAAAAGCUAAUCACUUUUAAAACGUUAUAAAUUUUCCAAAAUCUCAUUUAUUGCGGAAAAUUUUUUUGUUGGAAAUGUUACAAAAAUGUGGUGUCUUUGAAAACAGUUACCUUUUGAAAACCUGUUUUUUCCUACAACGAGUAGUUUAUAUCAAACUAAAUAAAUAAAAACCCCAAUUUAAAGUUUAUAACUUUAAAGAGGCUUUUUUACAUAAAAUACCCAAAUUUAGUUACUUAUAAAUCAAAGGCUAAAAUCAAAAGUUGAUGCAGUUGUGUGGCCAUCAUUAAGUCUUUCGCAGCACCGACCCGCCUACAACUGGAUUACCUGUACAGUUAAACAGGGGUGAGUUUACGAAAACUCAAUGUGCAAUCCCCUAACAAGCAAACAGUCAAUUAAACAGUAGAUAAAUGCAGUUUGGGCCUGAGCCCUUGAUAGUAACAGUCCAGUUUAGUAUAGGCCUAGGCCCUUUCCCGUAACAGUAAAUGAUUGGGCUUGAGGCCACCACAAUGCCAGUAAUCAGUAGGGCCUUUGCCCAAUUUCAGUAAUAGUAUCAGUGGGGCCUUGGCCCAUAAUAGUAACAAAUAUCAGUCAUGCAGUGAACAAUAUGUAAUAUCAUUAAUUGAUGCAGUAACAAUACAAAAUCAUUAAUCAGUGCAGAUAUGCAGUUAGAAAUCCUACCCAAUCCAGCCUCUAGACACCACUCUGUCCCACUAAAAAAAAUCAUGUGCGGAUAAAUCGACCCACCCAGCCAGACACACCAAGAUUAGCAACCUUAUAGCUACUAGUAAAAUAAACGACAUAUAGCCAUCAGUAGGUCCACAGUCGUCUUGGGUGACCCGUGCAACCUUAUCAUCACGGUACACUUCCUUCAAAUAUAAAAACCCAUCCUCAUGCAAUAUAUCGUGACAUAAUAUCAUACGUGUAUGUAAAAUGUCAUGCUCAAUCAUAGUCAUACAUAUCAUAAAGCAAAUCAGUCAUACAUAACAUAAGACCAUAACAGUCAUUUCAUCUCCUAGGGGUAUAACAGUCAUUUUACCCUAUGGAGGUAUUUUUGUCAUUUUACCCUAUGGGGAUAUUUUAGUCAUUUUACCCUAUGGAGGUAUUUUGAUUAUUUUACCCUAUAGGGGUAUUUUGGUCAUUUUACCCUAUGGGGAUAUUUCAGUCAUUUUAUCCUAUGGGGGUAUUUCGAUCAUUUACCUUAUGGGAGUAGUUCAGUCAUUUUACCUUAUGGGAGUAUUUCAGUUAUUUUACCCUAUGGGGGUAUUUCGAUCAUUUCUCUAUGGGGGUAUUUCGGUCAUUUUACCCUAUGGGGAUAUUUCGGUCAUUUUACCCUAAGGGGGUAUUUCGGUUAUUUUACUUUAUGGGGGUAUUUUUGUCAUUUUACCCUAUGAGGAUAUUUCAGUCAUUAUACCUUAUGGGGGUAUUUCGGUCAUUUACCCUAUGAGAGAAUUUUAGUCAUUUUACCCUGUGGGGGUAUUGCGAUCAUUUACCCUAUGCGGGUAUUUCGAUCAUUUUACCCUAAAUGGUCAUAACAGUGUAAAUGGGCCCAAUGCUCAUUACUCGGCCCAAGUAGGCCCACAUGCUUGUUCGACCUGUUUAGCCCAGAUUUCUCCACGACUAUGAGAUGUACAUUGCCCAAUCCAGUAUUUGCCAUAAAUCGUAGAUUUCAUCCGUGUAGGCCCAUGAGCCUAUUGAGCCCACACGACCCUUUUCGGCCCAACGUGGCCCAUUACGGCCUAAGCCCAUGAAAAUGCUCAUGGAGGCCUCCACAGUCUAUCGCCCAUGAUUCGUGGGUUUGGCUUACCAGACGAGCGAUCGCACGCUCAUGUGGUCUCAAAUGCCUUGCUUCUAGCUUUUCAACUUUUGCCGUUCUAAAGUUACAGUGGGGUGUUUACACACCUGAUGCGAUUUGCAGAUUCCCUUCGUUCCGAACACUCUUAUUCCGAAAAUCAAUGAUCAUCUCACCCUUGGUUCCUACGCAAUGUGCUAAUCAACCUCAACCACCUCCUAAACAAAAGUCACCAUCUUUAUAUUAGACUCAUACUUGACAAACCAUCUCAAUUGCACCCCAGUUACCACUCAAUAUUGUUUCUCAAAAUGUAACAGAUGACUCCUUAUCAUACCAUAACCACUUACCAACAAUGAUAAAACAGAUUGCAGAUCAGAGAUGUAGCGUACAAAGAACUGAGAAUCGGGAUUAAUCAAUGAGUAUUCCGCCAAUGGAGAGAACUUGAAGGAGACGAAAAGAAAAAUAGUGCGCUCCCAAUUGAUCAACGAACCCUUGCUAAAGCUGAGAGCUAUUUGAAAGAGCUUAAAAAAAGAAGAAGGGAGAAUCGAGUAGGAGAGAAAAUCGAAAAGAAAAAUGGUAAGGGAGGAAAGAAGCUGUAUUCGACCAAGGUUGAAGGAAAAGAAAUGAAAUCUGAAUUCUAACUCUUACCAAAUCAGCAACAACCCCAAAUCCCAAAAAUCCCUCCUCCAAUUUAGCUACACACCCUCCAUCCACUUCCUAUCCCUUAAUUUUCUACUAUUAUCUCUCCACAACAACAACCUCCCCAAAUCCCAAUAUUCUCUCCUCAAAUCUCUCUAAAUAUCCCUCCUCAAUUCUCUCUAUGACCAGUUCAAACUCCAUUUAGCAGUAUUUCAAUCAAACUCUACCACCCACAUGAAUGAGGCAGCAAACUCCCUUUUUGAUGCGCCACCACUCGAACCUUUGACCCCAUGUACACUCCACACGCCCCUUACCACUAGACCAACAACUCUUUUGUAUCAUAUUUUAACCACAAUAAUUUAAGAACCUACUAUCUAGAUCCAAGGAUUUUAUUCACUUAAAAUAAAAGUUUUGCAUAAGCCAAGGCUUGAGCCCCUAACUUCUCAGACACUUCCAAACACUCCUAAAUCACUUAACUACUGAAGCAGACAUUCAUUCAUGUCACUUCCUUGCACAACUAAAUAUUUAUGUGCAGUCUCCUAACUGCUCCCUUGUUCAAAACCUAUUUCUUCUAGGCCCAAAAUUCAGGGUGUUACAGGUUGUAAUGCAACCUUGAACAUAUGAGCCCUUCAAGUUUGCUUUUGUUUUGUCUCGGGCCCUUAAGCAAAGUGAAGUUAUCGAUGAUGGAAAGUAAGCACUUCCAGUCUUCUUUCUAGCACAAUCAUGGAUUUCCUUGAGAAUGAUCUUCCCAACAUUGAUAGACCUUUUUGUCAUAAUUGCAUACAACAAAAGUAUUCUCUCCAUCAAGAUGGUGGGACUGUGUGAGAUAGGCAUGAAACUAUAUUGAAAAAAGUAAAACCAUACCUUAGCAAACGGUUUCAGAUAUUCUCUUCAGUAAGAUUGAUUACAAUACUUUCUUAUAAUCCAUUGGGAUCCCGGAUUUAUCAUAACAUUAAGCACUUGUGGAAGAAAAUCCCAAUUUAUAUUUGUCAUCAUGGCAAAGUAUUCAUCUUCUUCAACAUCGGGUAGGUUAAAGAAAUCAUUAAUGGACUUAGAAGUUAGGCUUACUCAAAUGAGCAUAGAACUAUCAAACUAACUCCUCUUCGGGUAAUGAUCAUGCAUCGCAAAAAUAAUUCCAAUUGAGGGCAUCAAUCGUCUUUCAAAACGGCAAAGGCACAACCAUCUUAUCAUUGCUUUCCAAGUUCAAACCUUUUUCCAGCAUCAUAGGUUGAUUUUUGAAGAUAGAAUCCAACCUUUCUUUCACUUCCUUGUCUUGAAUCACAAUGGGAUUUUUGGCAGAGGUCUUAGAAGAUCUAGUUCUUUUGCGAGAUAUGGUGAUUUUUCCCUAAAAAUAGGCAAAAUUUUGACAAUGGAUGAAGCAAGGGAUUUUGCAGCGACGAUAGGCUUGCGACAGCGAUAGCAUGCAACGAUAAUAGGAAUGCAGCAGGGAUAUGGUUGCUCCAGUAAAAGGCUCGCGAUGGCAAUAGACUGGGGUUUUUACAACAAGGGAUGAAAAUUUGGGAAGAUUUUUCAAGAUUUAGGGCCACGGCUACGAGGAAAAAGAAUGAGUGGCUAGGGUUUAAGCUAAUUUCUUAAAGGAUUGUGAGAAUUAUGGUGGUAAAGAAAGGUUUAUAUACUUGUAAAUUAGGGCAAUCUUAUAGCAAAAUUUUCGCUACUUAAGUGACUUGGGUGGCAAGUAUAAAUGGAGGGAAAAAUGGUGGCGCAAUUAGGGUUUUAGAGAACCCUAUGGACGACAAUAUGGGGUGAUUUUUCUCCUUUUUGUUGUUUUAGGCCUUGAGCCCAAACUGUAUUUACUAACUAAACUACUUAAGAUAAAAUAAAAUGAUUAGUACUUGGGCCAAAUUGACCCCUUUAUUAAGCAAAACAAAUAAAAUUAUUAUUAAAAACAAAAUAAAAAUAAAAAUUUCAAAGUUAAUUAGAAAAUUUCUUCUCAAAAGAUUACAUUAAAUUAAUUCCCAGGAAUGGUUGGACGGUUCACUUAAGGUCCAAUCUCCUUAGACAACAUUAAUUAAAUGUACUAAUUUAAGAAAAAUAAUUUCUAAGCAUGUCAUUUAUUCAAAUGAGAGAGAAAGGAAAAACUGAAAAUAAAUUAACGGUAGAGAGAGUGAAGAAGACUCCCUCAAUGUUAUUGAUGAUUCUCUCGGACAAAGGUGAUGUUGAAUAACCAUUUAUCAUACCAAAUGUAUCCAUCUAGAAAGAAGAAGUAAUGUUUCCCAACAAUCAUAUUCAAUAUUUGCUCAAAACAUAGCAGUAGGAAAUGGUCUUUUUGUUUUGUUUGGCUCAACUUUCUGUCAUUUGUACAAAUCUACCCACCCAUGAUGAUCCUUAACGAAAUUAACCCAUUAAAUGUCAUAUACGGGAUCCAUAAUCCUUGCUUUUAACCAUUGAGACUUGAGUUUACUAGUAUCAAAUACUCGAGAUUGGAUCAAUCUCAUCUGUCCCUUGAUAGAACUCUUUUUAGUAUCUAAUGAUCUUUUCAAAACCGUUAAGUCUAACUUGAGUGACUCUUCUCUUGAUGGAUUGGGUUGCUUGUACUCAUGUGAUGAUAGCUCUAAUGACUCGAACUAAACUUUUGAACUAAAUUCUUCCAUGUUAGCUUCCAAACAUGUAUCAUCAUUAUGUUGAUAUGAAGAGUCAGAUGAAAUAUCUUCCAAUAGAUCAUUGCAUUCUAAUUUUGCAGGAACCAACAGAUUUUUCUCGGAGAUAUUAAAACAAUCUUUAACCUCAUCAGGAGAUCUUAGGGCCUUAAGUACAUUAAAGGUGACUUCUUCAUCUUGAACUUGCAUGGUGAGUUCACCUUUCUGUACAUUGAUUCUUGUCCUGUCGGUUUCUAAGAAAGGCCUUUCUAGGAUGAUUGGUACGUCUUUAUCGACUUGAAAAUCUAAGAUAUUAAAGUCAGCAAGAAAUAUGAAUUUAUCAACACGUACCAAGACAUCCUUGAUAUUUCCUUCUACAUAUGCCAAAGAUUGAUCCGCCAAUUAAAGUAUAAUUGUAGUCGAUCUGGCCUGACCAAUACCUAAUUGUCUAAACACAAACAUAGGCAUUAAGUUGAUACUCGAUUCCAAAUCGCACAAAACCUUACCACAAUAGGAUUCUCCAAUAUUACAAGGUAUGAUGAAACUUCUUGGAUCCUUCAACUUAGGAGGCAACUUGUUCUAAAAAAAUAGGCAACAUUCUAUAGUCAGGGCUACAAUUUCAAAUUCCCCAAACCUUGUCUUCUUAGAGGACUUAAUUUGGUUUCCAAACCCAUAAGAGAUCGAGUUGCAUAGAAGUAAUUCUGAACAUGUUAGCAUGAUGAAACUAAGUUGAUUUGAUUAAUAUAAUUAUCCUAGUCCAUUUAGUUUUGAUUGUUUUUUGUUGCUAAAGCCUUCAUUCAUACACUUAGGUAAAUUGCAUUUAGAUUAGAAAUUGCAUUAGGGAUCACUCUUGCAUUUAAUUAAUCCAAAUUUAUUGAUUUUUUUACAUCAAAUUGUUAACUAUAAUUUUGUAAUUAAUUGUUUAAGCUUAUACAGUCCCUGUGGAGAUGAUAACUCAUGUUUACUUACUUAUUACUUGAAUGACUACGUACACUUGCGUAAACACGUUACAAUUUGUAACAAGUUUUUGGCAUUGUUGCCGGGGACUGUUGCCUUAAUAAUUUUUUGGGAAAUUAUUUUUCCAGUUUGGUUUUUAUUUAAUUUCUAACAUUACUAAUUUAUUCUUUAUUUUAUUUUUAUUUAUUUUUAGGUGUUUUAUGAGCAUAGAUCGAAUCAUUGAUUUAUUACCCGUGGACCCUGAAAUUGAGGGGACUUUUAGACAAAGAAGAUGCAAAAAAUCUGCUUAAAGACAAGCCGAGAUGGACCUUGGAAAUCAAAAUAAUAGACAAGGUAAUGGAGUCAAUCAAGUACACAACCCAAUCCUUAUAGGGAUCGUGCCAUUAGACAAUACGCUGUGGCACUCUUCAAUGAGUUAAAUCCAGGAAUUAGGAUGCUAGAUAUCGAGGCACCGUAAUUUGAAUUGAAACCAGUGAUCUUUCAAAUGCUCCAAACGGUGGUCUAGUUCAAUGGUAUGCCACAAAAAAUCCACACUUACACUUUUGAUUAUUUAUGGAGGUCAGUGAUUCAUUUAAGUUAGCUGGUGUGACUGAAGAUGCAUUGAGGUUAAAAUUGUUUCUGUACUCGUUACGAGAUUGAGUACGAGCGUGGCUGAAUUCAUUGCCACCAAGUUCAAUAUCUACUUUGUAAGAAUUAACAGAAAGGUUUUUUGUUAAAUAUUUUCCACCAAGUAAGAAUGUAAAGUUGUAAAAUGAGAUAACAACUUUUCAACAAUUGGAUGAUGAGUCCUUGUACGAGGCUUGCAAAAGAUUCAAGGAAUAACUUCGUAAGUGUCCUCAUUAUCGGAUUCCUCAUUGUAUCCAAUUUGAGACAUUUUAUAACAGUUUCAACGCAUAUACAAGAUUAAUUAUGGAUGCUUCUACGAAUGGUGUGAUUUAGUCUAAGUCUUAUAGUGUGACUUAUGAGAUCAUUGAAAGGAUUGCAAGAAAUAACUACCAAUGGUUGACAAAUCAAACAGUUUCAGGAAGAUGUGUAGUCGGAGUGCAUGAAGUGGACGCACUGACUUCACUUUCUACUCAAGUAUCUUCAAUUUCCUCUAUGUUAAAAUAGUUUACCACUAAUGGUUUAAAUAAUUUUGCAGCUCAAUCACCAAGUCAAUAUCAUGUAGUUUCUUGUGUAUACUUUAGGAAUGGUCAUUCUUUCAAGAAUUUCCCUUCGAAUCCCCAAUUAGUGUACUAUGUAAAGAAACAGUAUCAAAACAAAAUUGGACAAGGACUGAAGUCAAAUUUCUACAAUACAUUGUGGCGAAACUAUCCAAAUUUUUCUUGGGGUAAUCAAGGAAAUGGAUCGAACAAUAACCAAAUGCAGUAUAGACCUAACCAAACCUAAGGGUUUAAUCAACAAGCCCUAAAACCACCUCAAAUUGAAUCAUGAAACAAUUUGGAGGACUUGUUGAAGGCAUACAUGGCGAAAAAUGAUGCCUUGAUCCAAAGUCAAGCAGCAACGCUGAAAAAUCUAGAGAACCAAAUGGGUCAAUUAGCUACUGAGAUUCAUAGUAGACCACAAGGAGCCUUGCCAAGCGACACAGAAAAUCUGAGAAAUUUGGGUAAGGAGCAUUGCAAAGUGGUAGAAUUACGAAGCGUUAAGACUUUAGAGCCUAAGAAGGUUGUGGUUCAAGAUGAGCCUGCUAGAAAGGAGGAAAGUCAACUGACAAUUGAAGUUCUUACAAUAGAAAAAUCUAAUGUAGAAAUAUUUGAUGAGGUAAACCCUAAACUAGUGAAUUCUAAAAUGCUACCAACCUCUUUUGUAGAUUUACCUCCUCAAAAAAGUUACCCAUAUCAACCUAGAGUUCGAUAUCCUUAAAGACUUUAACAGAACAAGCAGAAACAAGAGGUACAAUUCAAGAAGUUCUUUGAUGUUUUAAAGUAGCUACAUAUCAACAUUUUUUCGGUAGAGGCUUUAGAUUAAAUGUCCAAUUAUAUGAUAUCUUGUCCAAAAAAAUGACUUAGUGAGUAUAAGACUGUCACUUUAAUGAAGGAGUGUAGUGCGUUCUUACAGAACUGCCUCCGAAACUGAAGGAUCCUAGAAGCUUUACAAUACAUUGAACAUUGGUGAAUCAUAUUGCGGUAAAGCUUUGUGUGACUUAGGAGCAAGCAUCAACUUGAUGCCCAAAUCUAUUUUCAAGCUGUUGGGAAUAGGAGAAGUAAGACCCACUACUGUAACGCUUCAACUUGCUGAUCGAUUGUUAGCAUAUUUCAAAGGAAAGAUCGAGGAUGUUUUGGUAAGAGUGUCAAUAAAUUUAUUUUUCCUGCUGAUUUCAUUAUUUUGGAUUUUGAAGCAAACAAAGAAGUUUCGAUCAUCCUGGGGAGACCUUUCCUAGCCACGGGAAGAACAUUGAUAGAUGUGCAAAAAGGCAAACUCACCAUGCGAGUUCAAGACGAUAAGGUAACAUUUAACGUUCUGAGGGCAAUGAAAUUUUUUCGUUCAAUGGAAGAGUGCUCAGUAAUGGAGGAAUUAGAAAUCUUAGUUUCUAUGGAAGGCAAUUCUGAAGAAGACACAUUGGAGAUGAAAAAGGUAAUCAAUGUUUGGCUUCGAUGGAAGCCAAUUCAAGGAGUUAUAUUCAACCACCACGGUUCGACCUACUAGAGUUGGAAGUUCAAGAAAUUGUACAACCCAAGUCAUCAACUAAAUGUACUUCUAUCUCACUUGAAAUAUAUUUAUCUCGGUCAUAGUUCUACUUUGCCUGUGAUUAUUGUAACGGACCUAACAAAACAUCAAAAGGAGCAAUUGAUUGCUAUCUUAGAGAAAUUUAAGAAGACAAUUGGUUUGACCAUAGAUGAAAUACGAGGUAUAAGCCCUUCCUGCUGUAUGCAUAAAAUUAUUUUAGAGGAAGGUGAAAAAGGUAAGAUUGAUGGGCAAAGGAGACUUAACCCUAUCAUGAAACCAGUGGUUCAAAAGAAGGUAAGUAAGUGGUUAGAUGUGGGAAUUAUUUACCCCAUUUCAAAUAGUUCUUUUGUAAGACCAGUAUAAUGUAUAUCAAAGAAAGGUGAGAUCACAAUUAUUGAGAAUGAACGAAAUGAGUUAAUCCCGAUGAGAACUGUCAUGUGUUGGAGAAUCUAUAUUGACUAUAGAAAGCUAAACAAAGCUACUCAUAAGGAUCAUUUUCCUUUACCUUUUAUGGAUCAAAUGCUAGAUUGACUGGCAAGUAACAAAUUUUAAUCCUUUUUAGAUGCAUAUUCGAGAUAUAACCAAAUAUUUGUAGCCCUAGAAGACCAACAUAAAACUACUUUUACCUGUCCAUAUGGUACAUUGGCUUUUAAGCGAAUACCUUUCGGCUUAUGUAAUGCACCUGCCAUAUUUUAGCGAUGUAUGAUGGCAAUUUUCACUAAUAUGGUGGAAAAUUAUGUUGAGGUUUUCAUGGAUGAUUUCUCUAUUUUCAAUAAUACUCACAAUAUUUGCUUGAAUAAUUUGGCUAAGGUACUCAAAAGAUGUAAGGAGACGAAUAUUGUCCUUAACUAGGAGAAAUGUUAUUUUAUGGUUAAGGAGGGAAUUAUCUUAGGGCACAAAAUUUCCAAGAAAGGAAUCAAAGUGGAUAAAGUAAAUGUGGACGUAAUUGAAAGAUUACCACCUCUAGUUAGUGUGAAAGGAGUUAGAAGCUUUUUAGGCCAUGCUGGUUUUUAUUGUAGAUUUAUAAAGGAUUUUUCAAAAAUUUCUAAACCUUUAUGUGUACUUUUAGAAAAAGUUGUUGUUUUCUUAUUUUAACAAAGCAUGUUUAGAAGCUUUUGAAAUAUUGAAAAACCAGUUAACUUCAGCCCCAACAAUUAUCACACCUGAUUGGAACAUGCAUUUUGAGUCGAUGUGUGAUGCAAGCGGUUUCGCUAUUGGAGUUGUGAUGGGACAAAGAAGUAACAAAAUGUUUCGUCCUAUCUACUUGCUAGUAGAACUUUGAAUGGAGCCCAAAUCGAUUAUAUUUUAACUGAAAAAGAACUCUUUGCUAUAGUUUUUGCUUUUGGCAAGUUCCAUUCAUAUCUUAUAUGUACCAAAGUAACAAUGUUUACCGGCCAUACGGCUAUUAAGUAUUUACUCACGAAGAAAGAUGCUAAACCGAGGCUAAUUCGAUAGAUUCUUUUGCCCCAAUAAUUUGACCUUGAGAUCCAAAAUAGAAAAGGUGUUGAAAAUCAAGUAGCCGAUCAUCUAUCAAGGUUGGGACAAAAUAAGGUAACUUCUUCACUUGUUCUAAUUAAUGAAAAUUUUUCUGAUGAAUCUAUCUUCGAGGUAAGAAAAAUCUAUGAAAUAUCUUAGUUUUCUGAUUUUGUUAAUUACUUAGCAUGUGGAAUAAUUCCUCAAAAAAUGACGUACCCAUAAAGAAAGAAAUUCCUUCAUGAUGUCGGUACUAUUUCUAGGAGGACUCAUUUUUAUUUGAACAAUGUACAAAUAACAUAAUCAGGAAGGGUGUAGCUGGGAGUGAGAUUGAGGAAAUUUUGUACCACUGUCAUUCAUCUCCGAGUGGGGGACAUUAUGGUGGUUCACAAACAGCAGUAAAGAUUUUACAGGUUGGGUUCUUUUGGCCUACAUUGUUCAAGGAUGCUUAUGCAUAUGUAUGGAACUGCGAUAGAUGCCAAAGGAUUGGAAACAUAUCAAGAAGGAACGAGACGCCCUUAACAAACAUUUUGGAGAUAGAACUUUUCGAUGUAUAGGGCAUUGAUUUUCUAGGCCUGUUUCCUUCUUCAUAUGGUAAUAAGUUUAUUUUGGUAGUUGUGGGCUAUGUAUCCAAGUGGGUUGAAGCUGAGGCCUACCCAACUAAUGACACUAAGGUAUUUAUGCGAUUCCUGCAUAAGGACGUAUUUACACGGAUUGGGACUCUAGGGACCUCACUUUGUAAAUAAGUGUCUUAAGUGGUGGCUUGAUAAGAUUGUUAUUUCCUAUCACCUACAAUCUAAUGGGCAAGUUGAAAGGGUGGAUCUAGAAAUCAAAGGUAUACUUGAAAGGGUAGUGCGCCCUAACAGAACAGAUUGGUCUCGAAGGCUCGACGAUCCAGUAUGGGCCUAUCAAAAUACUUUUAAGACAUCAUUAGGGAUGACUCCAUAUCGGUUAGUUUUUGGAAAGGCAUGCCAUUUGCCGCUUGAAUUGGAGAAUAAAACUCACUAGGCUUUGAAGCAAUUGAAUUUUGAUCUUAAGCAAGCUGGUGAGAGAAGGAUGUUACAACUCGAUGAGUUGGUAGAGUUGAGGUUACUUUUAGAUGAGAAUGCCAAUAUGUGUAAGGAAAAAUAUAAGAAAUGGCAUGACAGUCGUAUUGAACCUCGUGAGUUCAAAAAAGGUGAGAAAGUAGUGUUGUUUAAUUCAAGGCUAAGGUUAUUUCUUCGAAAACUCAAAUCCCGAUGGAAAUGACCUUAUACCAUCUACAAAGUUUAUCCAUAUGGAGCUGUAGAAUUGUACGACAACCAUGGAGUUACGUUUAAAGUUAAUGGUGAAGUUAAGAGAAUUAAAACCUCGUUCAAAUUAAUAGACCCUUAAUCUCUCAUGAGCCUACUUUUUAAUAAAAUGUUAGAAAUUAUUUUUUUAAAUUAGUACAUUUAAUUAAUUUUGUCUAAGGACAAGGGAACUUAAGCGGGACCGUUGUGACCCCUCCAACCUUUCCUGGGAAUUAAUUUAAUGUAAUAUUUUAAGAAGAAAAUUUCAAAUUUAUUUUAAUCUUUUCUUUGUUUUAUUUUUAUUUUUAAUUUUUAUCUUUGUCUUUAAUUUUAAUUUUAAUCUUUAUUUUUAAUUUUAAUGUUAGUUUUAUUUAUUUUAGUAAAGGGGGUCAAUUUGGCUCAGUACUAAUAAGUUUAUUUGUUUUUAAGCACACCAAUUUUUAAAUAAAGUUUGGGAUCAAGGCCUAAAACAAUAAUUAGGAGAAAUUUAACUCAUUUAGUCGUCCAUAGGAUUCCAUAAAGCCCUAGUUUUUGCCACCAUAUCAUCCCUCCAUCUUACUUGCUGCCUAAGCCACUUAAAAUUAGCUAAAUUUAAGCUACAAGUCCAAGUCAUUUAAAUUAUCUAAAUUUAAGCUACAAAAUUACCCUAAUUCAUCACUAUAUAAACCACUCUCUACCUUCAUAAUUGUCACAACCCUUCAAGCUAUUUUAUGUUCAUUCUUUUCCCUCUUAGCCGUUGACCUAAAUCCCAAAAUUUCUUCCUUGUUAUAAGCCUCUAGUAUUGCCGCCGCACGACUUUUGCUAGAGCAGCCCCUUUGUCGUUGCAUCCUAUCACUGUAGCAAGCUUCGUGCUACUGCCAGUUCAUCACUGCCACAAAUCGAUCACCAUUGCAGCACCUUGCUCUCAUCCUUUGCCAAUUGCUUUUUCAAUUCUUAUGCCAAAAUUUUGCUUAAUUUUCGGGAAAAAUUUCUAUAUCCCGUAAGAGAACUAGAUCUUCCAAGACCUCUGACGAAAAUCCCAUUGUAAUUCAAUACAAAGAAGUGAAAGAAAGGUUUCAUUCAAUCUUUAAGAAUCAACGUAUGAUGUCGGAAAAAUGUUUCAACUAGGAAAGCAACGUUAAGAUGGUUGUUCCUUUGCCAAUUCAAAAGAUGAUUGAUGUCCUCAAUUGGAAUUAUUUUUGUGAUGCACGAUCAUUACCUGACGAGGAGUUAGUUCAAGAGUUCUAUGCCAAUUUGACUAAGCCGGAUGCUACUAAAGUUCUUGUUCACAAGAAUAAGGUACUCUAAUUUCUAAGUACAUUAAUAAUUUGUUUAACCUACCUGGUGCUGAAGAAGAUGAGUAUUUUGCCACGAUGACAAACAUACAUUGAGAUUUUCUUCAACAAGUGCUUAAUAUUGUGACAAAUCCAGGAUCCCAAUAGAUUAUAAGGAAGUAUGGUAGUCACUCUUGCUAAAGGGAAUAUUUAAAGUCGUUGGCUAAUAUAUGGUUUUACUUUGUUUGAUAUAGUUUCAUGCCUAUCUCUCACAGUUUCACUAUCUCAAUAGAGCGAAUACUUUUGUUGUAUGUAAUUAUGACAGAAAGGUCCAUCAAUGUUGGGAAUAUAAUUCUUAAAGAGAUCUUUCAUUGUGCUAGAAAGAAGACUGAAAGUGCUUAUUUCUCAUCAUUGAUAACAUCACCUUGCUUAAAGGCCCAAGUCAAGACAAAAGAAAACCUAAAGGGCCCAUAUGUUCAAGGUUGCAUUAUAGCCCAUGAUCUUGAAAGGUUAGUGGAGAAUGUCCAUGAAUUAAACCCAAUUGAACCAAGUGAACCGAAAAAACUAGAAACUAAUGAGUCAUCGAACAAGUCUUAAACUGAAGCUAACUCUGUUACUGAAAUUGAAGAGGUAGAAUCAGAGGAAAAACCAAAUAAGCCUGAACAGGUAAAGGAACCAGAAACUUCUGGACCAAAAGAAGAGUUGAAUGUUGAUGAGCCAGUUGAACCAAGUGUUGAUCCAGAGUUGAGUAAUCCAAUGCCCACUUCUUCAAAAUCUAUGAAGAAAUCAAAAUUGUCAACUAUGAUGGAUGUGAUGAAAUUUAUGCAUAACCAACAACAGGCUUAUUGGACAUAUGCAAAAGUUAGAGAUGAUUCUGUAAGAAAUACUUUUAAAAAUAUCUCUAACAGUUUUGUUCUUGAGUUCCCAGAUUAUAUCUUCGAGUCAUGGAAGGAAGAUGAUAAAGAAAGCGAGGACGAAACAUUAAAAGAGGGAAACGAGGAGGAUAAGUCAAAUAAAUAAAAAGAGGGGAGUUCUUUUCUUUUAGUUUCUAUUUCUUUUUAGGUGCUUAUUUUUAUUUCUUACUUAGUAUUUUGCUUUCGCAUAAUUAAAUAGCAAGCAUGAAUAAAAUAUGCUCCAUGCCUAUUCAAUAGAAAGAAAAUAAAGUGAUGUGGUAAUAGGAAUGAACAUGUCUAGGAUUGGAUUGUUGAGAAAGGCUUGGUACUUAAGAAGUCUUUAUGACUCACCUCUCUUUUCUUGCAACCCUUCUUGGUGUUCAAUUUUCAUUCAUUACUUUGUUUUCGCAAUGGGGACAUUACUUCUUUUAAAAGGGGGUAAAGCAAUUUCGUAUGAAUUUUAAAGUAUGUUUCAAUCUUUUUACUUAAGUAUGUUGAAAUAAAUGACUAUUCAGAAAUAAUUUUUGUUCAUGAAUCUAUUCAAAUGCAAGCAUGAUUUUUUAUUUUAUUUAAGUUAUUCACAUGUUAUCAUUGAAUAAUGGAAAGCUUGUAUGAUCUUAGUCUUAUGUAGGAUUUGCCAUGAAAAUUUGAUUUCUUUAGAAAUAGACAUGCAUGAAGGUUUAAGUCUUUAGAAUUGACUUAGUAACUUUCUUAAGGCGAAAUCCUACGAGGUAUAAGACUCUAAUAUGAUAUAGGCACACUUUCUUUGGAUUGUUGAGCCUUUCAAGCUGACUUAAUGAACUUUAACCCUUGAAACUUAAUUUUGAGCUUAAUGGCUUGUUUGUUGCAAAUGACCUACAUUAUAAGCCACAUUAACAUCUUUUUUUUUAUUUUUAUCCUAUUCUUUUGCACCUAUCUUAACCAAAAAAUUUUCAUGGUGAUCAAAGUUUAAGGAAAUUAUGAGAAGAUGUACAUGCUCUUCACAUGUUCAAAAACAAGAGAGAAAAAUGAAUAAAUAAGCAAAGAAAAUUUUGCUCAAAAGCAAAAGAACAUAAGAGAAAAUAAAGGAAUGGUCAAAGUCUCAAAAAUAAAGAGCAAAGUUUGCUCAAAGUUCAAGAAAAAUAAAAGUGGAGCAUAAGUUCGAAAUAAGUUUGGGGGUAUUCCAAAGACCCAUUUGUAUGAAAUUUGUGACGCCAAAUGAUCUAAGACAAAGUUAAGGUUAAGAUGUUUUGAACCUAAAAAUCACUUCUCUUUAUCCCUACCUUUAGCCUAGCCCCAUUACAACCUAAUAAAAGACCUAUUGAUUCGAUGAUUAUACCGACUACAUUAGUGGAGAGGGCCUAGAUAGAUAUAUGAAGAAAAAAGAAAAUAAAGAUUCACUUUCUUGUUUUCAAAAAAAUCAAGAAACCAAAUCUUGGUCUAAUUAUGCGGCUUUUGGAGAUUUCAAGAAUCAAGAAAAUCAAUAUUUCAAAUCUUGGAAUUCUUUGUCCAAGAAACUGAAUCUUGAAGUUGGUGUUUGAUGGCUUACAUGAUGAUAACUCUUGAAAAGAGUUAUAAUUCAUACUUUUAGACUUAGUUAAUUGCUUGUACAUAAGUAAAAUUAGCUUCAUUUGAGGUAAUUGCAAGAUUAUUUCUAGUCAAUCGAGCAGUGCAUCUAAGAACUUGUUGUGGCUGAAUGACAGGUUUAAAGGAGAAGGAUAGCAGAGGAUAGGUUUGUUGAGGUAUUAUGAGAGGUUUCCAUGGCAAUGCUAGUUAAGAAAAAGACAAACACCUAGUAGCAAUGAGAGCACUUAGCAUUUGGUCCCCUACAUGCACGAGUAAUGGAGAAUAUUCACCUUAAAAUUAGUGAAAAAGCAUUCAUUGGCUGACAAGUUUUACCCUAGAGGAUAACCCAAAUAUAAAAGGCAAUAAAAAGUGGAGAGACGAAAGAGAAAAAAACUGUAAUUGUCCUAAUCUUGGACAGAGGUCUCAUUGUGGUAAGAAGGGUAAGUUGAGCUGACUAUGAACUUUGGUGAAGACAAGAAACAAGACACCAAGUUGGGGGGAUUGGAGUUUUGAAACCCAGAUUUCUUUCUCUGCAUUUUGUUUCAAUUCUUCUAUUCUAAACUGAUAUUUUGGGAUAUUGAUGAUACGAAAACAACUUCAAUUUGUGUAGCCCAGCCAUGAGCUAACUUAAUAGGGCUGGGGUUUGUUUUGAAUGAUGUUUUAACUUUGAUUAAUGUUUAUGGUUUAAUAUGGUUCAUAUUAUUGCUUUACCCAAUGGAUUUUUUUGUUUAAAUGCUUAAGAGAGUGUUGAUGAAUGCUGAAUAAGUCUUAAGGUAGCUUGACACCGACUUGAAUAGGUUACCUGGAUCGAAGUUGGGUAAUAUAAAUGAGUGCUAAGUGAAAUACUCAUGUCAACGCUAGAGAUAGAGCCUUACCUUAUACGAUUUAAAGGGUUGAGAUUUAGCAGUAGUUGCUAAUCCUAAGCCUAUAGACAUAUAAUGCCUUAGGGGUGAGUAACCCUAGGUCUUGCUUUCGGCAGAGUUAAAACACAUUAGUACCCAAUCGAACAAUAAGUUCGCCAUAGUUUUGCCAUGGCAUUGUUCACGAGUUAGCAUAGACCCCUUAGUAAUCCCAACCUUCACGACCAAUAUUCGAACCUUGCUAAAGUCCUUAGUACUCUUCUUUGAUUUGUUGCAAUGGUAAUCUUUACUAGUAUACUUCAUUACUUUCACUUCUAAUGUGUUAACCCUAUUUUAAUUUCAUUAAACAUCAUUUGAUACAUUUAUCUUUUCUAUUCAAUUGUGAUAACUUAGACAAAGAGCACUCAUCCAAUCUUCGUGGGAAUCAUACUCACUCAUCACUUUAUUACUUGAUUCGAUGUGUACACUUGCACAAUUCGCACAUCAUAUUCACACGCGACAAGUUUUUGGCACCAUUACCUGGGAUUGGCGAUUGGUAACUUUAGUUUUUGUUAUUACAAUUUUUAUAGUUUUAGUUGCUAAUUUGUUUGUUUCAUGAUCUCAAUAGGUCUGGCGUAGAGGCAUUCCUAUUGAAGGACUCUAUCCCUUAGAUCUAGAAAUUGAAAGGAUAUUGCUAAGAAAGAGAACAGAACAAAGAGAAAUGAAUCAAGACAGUAACAAUCCACCUGCUAUGAAUGAGAAACUUAAUCCGAAAGCUCCAAAUGUUAAUCCUCAUGCUGCUUAGAUGUUUGAUGAUCGGGAUAGGCCAAUUCGAGAGCAUGUAGUGCCUAUCUUAGACAACCUAAGUCCUAGAAUAAUCAAGCCACAAAUUCAAGCUCCCCACUUUGAACUAAAACCUGUAUUGUUCCAGAUGCUUCAAUCAAUUGGUCAGUUUGGUGGUUUGCCAAUUGACGAUCCCAGAUUGCACUUGAGACUUUUCUUGGAAGUCUAAUAUUAUUUCAAAAAAUAAGGUGUCCUUGAAGAUGGCUUAAAGCUUAAACAGUUUCCCUAUUCUUUAUGAGAUCGUGCUAGAACAUGGCUCAAUGCUUUACCAUCUAGAAUAAUAGAAUCAUGGAACGAUCUCUACCGAAGAUUUCUAUUGUGAUAUAACCCACCCAAUAUGAAUGCCAAACUGUGAGAAAUGGCAUAACAUCCUUUAAGCAACUAGAGGAUGAAACAUUGUAUGAAGCAUGGGAAAGGUUCAAAUAUUUUCUUAGGAAAUGUCCUAUGCAUAGAUUUAAGCAUUGGACCCAAAUGGAGAUGUUCUACAAUGGUAUAAAUGCACAAACACGAAUUGACAGCCCUAAUGUGACCCUAGUCGGGAAGUGGUUUCGGGACCACUAAACCGAGUCAUAAAAAUAAUUAACCGUCAUAAAUGAUGCUCAUUAUAUGUACAUGUGCAUGUGUGAAAAUUUCGUGUUUGAAUUUUGUUUAAUUGUAGGUGAAUUUUAGUAAAUAGGACUUAUGUGAGAAAAUUUUGAAAUGUGAUAGGUCAAAGCAUAAGGAUCUAUUAGUGCAUGAAAUAAAAAGGGGGGACUUGCAUGUCAAUUUCCCCCCCUAAUUAGUAGUGGUCGGCCAUGACAAGCAUGGUAGACCAAGUGUGAUGGGCAAGAGCUGUCAUAAACAUGUUGAGUUAGUGUUUCAUGGGAAGUAUGAUAAAAUAAGGAGCAUGGGCAUAAAAUAAUGAAAGGGAAUAUGAUGAAAACAAAAAAAAGUGUGUGGUUGUCCCCCCCCAUUUUGCCGAAACUAGAAAGAAAAACAAAAAAAAAAGUGUUCAUCCUUUGGUUCAUCCUUGGCCAAAAAUUUUAAGGAGGAAGGAAGAAGAAAGGUUGAAGAGGUUCGGCCAUGCAUGUAACUAGGCUAAGGUAUGUUUGAUGAUGUUCCAUGAGAUGCAUGCAUGUUUUAGUUGUUAGCUUGAGUUCUACCUAGCCCAUGGUCUAAAUCUUGCUAUGUGAUGGAAAUGACACUCGGCCAUGGAUGCAUCAUUCUUGCUUGGUGUUGAUGUUGUGUUGGUGAGAUACCAAGUUAUUUUUGUGACCAAGUUGAGAUUUGAAUUUUUGAAUGAGUAAGGUUUUCGGCUAUGGUAAAUAUAAGGGUGAUGGAUGUUGUGUCAUGCUAAAUCUAGAUGAACAAUGUUAGUGCUUAUAUCUCAAUAUUCAUGAGUUUCUUUCUUGGUUUUACCUCAAACCCAUGAAGUAUUUUAAUUGGUGUUGUUAGAAGUUUCGGUCAUGGGAUUAUAAGCUUGUUAGUUUUGAUGAUGAAAUUUAUGCCUUGCAAGGGUAAAUGGUGUCUUGAUGCAUUCGGCCAUGGUAGAAAGUAGAAGUGAAAUGGUAGUAAGAUAACAUGCAAAAUUGUUAGUAUUUGAUUUCUAGUGUAUACAUGCGUAUUAGCCGAGUUUUGAAUUUGAAACGAAACGGUAUAUAACCAAUACAAGUAACCAUACUUGUGGGAAGUCUUAAGCAUAUAAUUGGCCUCAACAUAUACAUGCAUACUCGGCCAAAUGAGAAGAUUUGUGUUGCAUGCAUUCGGUUAGAGGCAAGCAUAUUGAUGCCUAUAUCUUGGUUAGGACAAUCGGCUAAAAGGGAGUAUGGGUUAAUAUGUUGAGUUGAUGCAUGAUUUCACAUGUAUGUGACUUUAAUGUCUAAUGUAUAAAUAUGGGCUAAGUGCCUCGUGUUCCUCUUUUCGAUGCUCAAAUGAUUAAAUCAAUUUAUUUGUUUAAUUAAGCUCAAGAGCAAAAGGGAACUAAAUCCGAUAAAGGGAAGGAAAAAGUGGUCGAAUAGCCAUCGGAAUCGUUCGACAACAUCCGAGGUAAGUUCUUGAGUAAUAGAGCUUAAAUUAUGAUUUGAUUAGAUCAUGUUUUAAGCAAAUCAAAAUCAUGCUCUUUGUGUGUGGCUAUUGAGCCGAAAUUGCAAGAAUGAUAAGUGUCUUGUGUUUGAGUUUUGCUAACGAAAAUGAAAUACGAAUGUGCCAUGAUUUAUUGUUAAAUGUGCAUGGUUAUUUGAACGAUGUCCGGGCUAAGUCCCGAAGGCUUUGUGCUAAGUGACCAUAUCCGGACUAAGAUCCGAAGGCAUUUGUGCGAGAUACUAAUUCCGGGCUAAGCCCGAAGGCAUUGGUGCGAGUUACUAAAUCCGGGUUAAGUCCCGAAGGCAUUUGUGCGAGUUACUAUAACCGGGCUAAGUCCCGAAGGCAUUUGUGCGAGUUACUAUAACCGGGCUAUGUCCUGAAGGCAUUUGAACGAGUAGCUAUAUCCGGUUAAAUUCCGAAGGUAUGUGAUUUGGGAAUGAAUGAUCUUGCUGUAAAAAUUUCAGUUAAUACGCUUGAACAUCCCAACAUUGAGGUAUGUUUCGUAUGUGCUUUGAAUUAGUUGAGCCCUUACAAAUAAGUAUUCGCUCAGUUGAUAAAUGAGCUACCGGCCUUUGGCUAAGUUGAUCUUUUGUGUAUGAACAUAAGGGUUGGUAAUGUGAAGUAAGUAUGAAAUCGAAAAUUUGUGCAUAUGAAAUUAUCCGUUUAGCUAUAUGAAUGCUAUACUUUUGUUGUGCUGGAAUCCCUUGCUCAAAACUUACUAAGCAUAAAUUGCUUACUCCGUUUCUUUGAUUCUCUGUUUUAUAGAUUUUGGCUCUUCAGCUAUCGGACUCGGGAUUUUGAAGUCGAAGUCGCCCACACUAUCAAAGCCCCCUUUUGGUACAAUUUUGGUUGAACUUCGAAAUGGCAUGUAUAGGACUACCCUUUUUGUUGUGGGUCAUGGACCCUUUGGACUUGUAUAAUUUUGGAUAGCCAUGCGAAAAUGGCUUAUAUAUGUUUGAGCAUAAUGUUAUAAUCAUUUGGUAUGGAUAUGGUUAUUGAGAGGUGUGGAUAUGCUUAACAAGGAUUGGCCAUGGAAUGGUUAAUCACUAUCAUAAUUUGUGCUAUUUAUGCUAAAAGGGCUAGUUGAAUCAUGGAAACUAUGAAAUAGGUAAAGUCUACCUUAAAGGCAGAUGCCGACAGCAGCAGUGAUGUAGAUUUUGAAAAUCACUAAAAAUAGUAGGAAUGGAAUUAAAUAGUGAAUAAAUUAUGUAAACAAACCUUGAUGAAUCUAUUUUCAUAGAAAAGUAACGAAAUGAUCAUAUGGACAGUAUGUUAAGAGAUAUUCAGGUUCUCGUGAGACAGGGCCAGAACGGUUUCUGGAUUCCCUGUUCCGACUUUGGAAAUUCAUUAUAAAUUAACCAGAGAUAAUUAGGAGUCAUGCCAUAUAUGUAUAGAUUCCUCUCUAAGUCUAGUUUCUAUAGAAACCAACGGCAUCAGUAUUGAAGCUCUGUGCAGGGAGAUAUCCAAGUCGUAAUGCGCAAAGGUCAGUGUAGUCAAUCCCUGUAACAUGGGAGACUUUGACUAAUAAACUGUACUAAUUGGCCCGACCUAAAAUUCUAUAAAAAAUACGUAGAUGGGAAUAUGAUUUUAGUUUCAGAGAAAAAUUACGAAACUGAUUUUCGAGUUUUGAAACUCAAGAUAUGAUUUUUAAGGUGACAGUGAUGCAGUUAGCCAGCUUGCCUGGAAAAUUUUAAAAUGGAUUGUGCAAAGAAGUGAUUUAAGUCUGCAAAACCCUCGUGUCCGACUCCGGCGAAGGACUCGGGUACGGGGUGUUACAAUUUUAUUGGUAUCAGAGCUACGGUUUAGUCGAUUCUAGGACUACCGUAAUGCGUUGGGUCUAGCUAUACAUGCCAUUUUAUGUGAUUAUUUGAUAGUGUGGUGAUUUCUGACAUUUGCAAAUGUGUUUAUUUAUAGUAAUGGAUCCCGAUCCCGACCGAGAGGUAGCUGAUGAUCUUGAGAGUGUAGCGCCUGCUCCCGCACAAGGGACAGCGCCGGCGGACUCUCAACCUAAUGCUAGUAAUCCGAAUGAUGAAGCUAGACAAGCUUUCUAUAGUGUGAUGAAUGAUUGGUUCAACCAAUACAUUCGAACAAAUACGGCUGUUCCACAACCUCCAUUCCCGACUAAUACAACCCCCGCACCUACACUACCUCCGGAAACUGACCAAAUAAGGUCAAAUAAGCCCCCAGUUGACAGAAUCCGAAAACAUGGGGCUACUGAAUUUAAAGCUACGGAUAGCGACGAUGCCGAGCAAGCUGAAUUUUGGUUGGACAACACUAUCCGGGUACUCGAUGAGCUAUCUUGUACACCCGAUGAAUGUCUAAAGUGUACUAUCUCCUUGCUACGCGAUUCUGCCUACUAUUGGUGGAGUACUCUGACUUCGGUUGUGCCCCGAGAGCAAGUAACUUGGGAGUUUUUCCAAAUUGAGUUUCGGAAAAAGUAUAUCAGUCAGAGAUUUGUUGAUCAAAAACGGAAGGAAUUUCUUGAGCUUAAGCAAGGUUCUAUGUCAGUUACUGAUUACGAGUGAAAAUUUGUUAGACUUAGUAGAUACGCUCGGGAAUGUGUUCGUCCGAGGCUAUCAUGUGUAAACGCUUCGAGGAUGGGCUGAAUGAAGAUAUAAAAAUGUUCGUUGGCAUUCUUGAAAUACGAGAGUUCGUAGUACUUGUCGAGCGAGCUUGUAAAGCCGAAGAGCUUAGAAAAGAAAAACAAAAAGUUGAUGUGGGAACUGGAGAGUUUCAUAAAAGAUCCUCGGGAAAGUCUCUUCAACAGGCAUUGAAGAAAUUUCGAGAUGAUGUGGGCCGGUCUAGAGGCAUUUCGGGCCUUUUUAGAUGAGAUCGUGAUCGACCCCCUGUGGGUACACGAGGCACUUCGGUUGCCAGUGUUGGGAAUGAACGUCGAGACAGAACGGAAUGUCGAUAUUGCGGUAAAUGGCAUUGGGGAGUUGUAGAUUCCAUGACCGCUCCUGUUACAAGUACGGAUCAGUUGACCACUUCAUUAAAGAUUGCCCGAGGUUGUCUGAACAGAAUGUAAAUCAGAGUGGGAAACCGAGUGCUACCACUACUCGAGGUAGACCAUCUAGAAAUACGGGCAAUGCUAGUGGUGGUCAGAGAGGAUCUAGAGAUGCUACGACCAGAUCCGAGGCUCGUGCUCCUGCUAGAGCUUAUGCUAUACGUGCCAGCGAGGAUGCUUCUUCGCCUGAUGUUAUUACCGGUACUUUUACUCUCUUUGAUACUAAUGUAAUUGCUUUGAUUGACCCCGGUUCUACUCAUUCUUACAUAUGUGAAACCUUAGCAUCCAGUAAGACUUUACCUAUUGAGUCUACUGAGUUCGUAAUUCGGGUGUCAAAUCCCUUGGGUCGUUACGUGCUUGUCGACAAAGUGUGUAAGAAAUGUCCCCUAGUAAUUCGAGGUUCCUGUUUUCCGGCGGACUUGAUGCUUCUGCUGUUUGAUGAAUUUGAUGUUAUUCUUGGUUUGGAUUGGUUGACCGCGCAUGAUGCGGUUGUGAAUUGCAAAAGCAAGACUAUUGAUUUGAGGUGCACAAAUAACGAGAUAAUCCGAGUUGAGUCUACGGACUUAAAGGGGUUGCCAGCUGUAAUAUCCUCAAUGUUGGCCCAGAAAUAUGUAAGAAAAGGGUGCGAAGCAUACCUUGCGUCUGUACUUGAUGACAAAGAAUUUGAAAAAAAACCCGAAUCUGUGCCGGUGGUUUGUGAAUACCCGGAUGUUUUUCCUGAAGAAUUACCGGGUUUACCACCUGUUCGGGAGAUAGAGUUUGGUAUUGAGCUUGUACCUGGGACUACGCCGAUUUCGAUAGCUCCGUAUCGUAUGGCACCAACCGAGUUGAAAGAGUUGAAAGCUCAGUUGCAAGAAUUGACGGAUAGAGGUUUCGUCCGACCAAGUUUCUCACCUUGGGGUGCACCAGUAUUGUUCGUGAAAAAGAAGGAUGGAACCAUGAGGUUGUGCAUUGACUAUCGUCAGCUGAAUAAAGUGACAAUAAAGAACAAAUAUCCGUUACCGCGUAUCGAUGAUUUGUUUGAUCAACUAAAGGGAGCCUCAGUGUUUUCAAAGAUAGAUUUGAGAUCGGGUUAUUAUCAGUUGCGGAUUCGAGAUUCGGACGUACCCAAAACUGCUUUCAGAACGAGGUACGGUCACUACGAGUUCUUAGUGAUGCCGUUCGAGCUCACUAAUGCCCCUGCGGUAUUUAUGGAUUUGAUGAAUCGGAUCUUCAGACAGUAUUUGGACCGGUUCGUAGUUGUGUUCAUUGAUGACAUCUUGGUCUAUUCAAGAGAUGAGACCGAACAUGCUGAGCACCUGAGAUUAGUGUUGCAAAUUUUGCGGGAUAAGCAGUUAUAUGCUAAGUUCAGUAAGUGUGAGUUCUGGUUAAGAGAGGUUAGCUUCUUGGACCAUGUGGUAUCCACAUCGGGUAUUCGAGUUGACCCGAGCAAAAUUUCAGCCAUACUUAACUGGAAGCCUCCAAGAAAUAUUACCGAAGUUCAGAGCUUCUUGGGGCUCGCCGGUUAUUACCGACGAUUUGUAAAAGGUUUCUCGAUGAUAGCCACACCAAUGACGAAGCUACUUCAAAAGGAUGUUAAGUUCGAAUGGAUGGAGAAAUGUCAGAAAAGUUUCGAUCAACUGAAAACUUAUUUGACUGAAGCUCCAAUUUUAGUGCAACCCGAAUCAGGCAAAGAGUUUGUCAUUUAUAGUGACGCAUCCCUACUUGGGUUGGGUUGCGUAUUGAUGCAAGAAGGUCGAGUGGUGGCCUAUGCGUCGAGACAAUUAAAGCCAGAUGAGAAAAAUUAUCCGACCCAUGAUCUCGAACUAGCUGCCAUCGUAUUCGCUUUAAAAAUAUGGCGACAUUACUUAUUUGGUGAAAAGUGCCAUGUAUUUUCGGAUCACAAAAGUCUCAAAUAUUUGAUGACUCAAAGAGACUUAAAUCUGCGACAAAGACGUUGGCUUGAGUUGUUGAAAGAUUACGAGCUUGUCAUUGAUUACCACCCGGGAAAGGCUAAUGUGGUUGCGGACGCCUUAAGCCAGAAAUCACUGUUUGCUUUACGAGCGAUGAAUGUGCACUUGUCUGUUCUACCCGACAAUGUGUUAGUAGCUGAAUUAAAGGCCAAACCAUUAUUGAUUCGUCAAAUUCGUGAAGCUCAGAAAGUCGACGAUGAAUUGGUUGCAAAACGGGCUGAAUGUGUUCCGAAUAUGGAAUCCGAAUUUCAAAUUGAUGAUGACGAUUGUUUGAGGUUCAGAAGUCGGUUGUGUGUUCCAAGAAAUUCAGAACUCAUUUCGAUGAUUCUGAAUGAAGCCCAUUGUAGCCGAAUGUCAAUUCACCCGGGGAGUAUGAAAAUGUACAACGAUUUGAAACGUCGAUUUUGGUGGCAUGGUAUGAAACGAGACAUCUCCGACUUUGUUUCGAGAUGUUUAAUAUGUCAACAAGUGAAAGCGGAACAUCAAGUGCCUUCAGGAUUACUUCAGCCGAUCAUGAUACCUGAGUGGAAAUGGGAUCGAGUCACAAUGGACUUUGUGUCCGGACUGCCAUUGUCAGCAAGUAAGAAGGAUGGGAUUUGGGUUGUUGUUGAUAGACUGACUAAGUCGGCUCACUUUAUCCCCGUGCGUACGGAUUUUUCAUUGGAUAAACUAGCCGAAUUGUAUGUUUCUCAGAUUGUGAGAUUACACGGGGUACCUAUUUCUAUCGUGUCGGAUAGAGAUCCGAGAUUCACCUCGCGAUUUUGGAAGAAAUUGCAAGAAGCUUUGGGUACCAAGUUGCAUUUUAGCACCGCUUUUCACCCCCAAACCGAUGGUCAAUCCGAGCGGAUAAUUCAGAUAAUUGAGGAUAUGUUGAGAUGUUGCAUCCUCGAGUUCAGUGGUUCAUGGGAACGGUAUUUACCUUUGAUUGAAUUCGCUUACAACAACAGUUUUCAAUCAAGUAUUAAGAUGGCACCUUACGAGGCUUUGUACGGGAGUAAAUGCCGUACACUAUUGUUUUGGACCGAGCUCGGUGAUAGCAAAAUUUUCAGAGUUGAUUUGAUUAAAGAUGCCGAACAGAAAGUAAAGGUAAUCCGUGAAAGUCUGAAGGCAGCCACAGAUCAUCAGAAAUCGUAUGCGGAUUUGAAACGAAAAGACAUUGAAUAUCAGGUGAGAGAUAAAGUGUUUCUUAAAGUUUCGCCUUGGAAAAAGAUACUCAGAUUUGGCCGUAAGGGCAAGUUGAGCCCGAGAUUCAUUGGGCCGUACGAAAUCUCCGAACGAGUUGGUCCGGUUGCGUAUAGAUUGAUUUUGCCCCCUGAACUUGAAAAGAUUCACGAUGUCUUUCAUGUUUCGAUGCUUCGACGUUAUAGAUCCGAUCCGUCACAUGUGAUUAAUCCCUCAGAAGUUGAAAUUCAAUCUGACUUGAGUUAUGAAGAAGAACCGAUUCGUAUCCUAGCUCGUGAAGUGAAAGAGUUGCGAAACAGAAGGGUUCCGUUAGUUAAGGUGUUAUGGCUCAAACACGGGAUCGAGGAAGCUACUUGGGAAACCGAGAUCUCGAUGAAAGAACGAUACCCAAACCUAUUUACCGGUAAGAUUUUCGGGGACGAAAAUUUCUUAAGUGGGGGAGAGUUGUGACAGCCCUAAUGUGACCCUAGUCGGGAAGUGGUUUCGGGACCACUAAACCGAGUCAUAAAAAUAAUUAACCAUCAUAAUUGAUGCUCAUUAUAUGUACAUGUGCAUGUGUGAAAAUUUCGUGUUUGAAUUUUGUUUAAUUGUAGGUGAAUUUUAGUAAAUAGGACUUAUGUGAGAAAAUUUUGAAAUGUGAUAGGUCAAAGCAUAAGGAUCUAUUAGUGCAUGAAAUAAAAAGGGGGGACUUGCAUGUCAAUUUCCCCCCUAAUUAGUAGUGGUCGGCCAUGACAAGCAUGGUAGACCAAGUGUGAUGGGCAAGAACAUGUCAUAAACAUGUUGAGUUAGUGUUUCAUGGGAAGUAUGAUAAAAUAAGGAGCAUGGGCAUAAAAUAAUGAAAGGGAAUAUGAUGAAAACAAAAAAAAAGUGUGUGGUUGUCCCCCCCCCCAUUUUGCCGAAACUAGAAAGAAAAAGAAAAAAAAAGUGUUCAUCCUUUGGUUCAUCCUUGGCAAAAAAUUUUAAGGAGGAAGGAAGAAGAAAGGUUGAAGAGGUUCGGCCAUGCAUGUAACUAGGCUAAGGUAUGUUUGAUGAUGUUCCAUGAGAUGCAUGCAUGUUUUAGUUGUUAGCUUGAGUUCUACCUAGCCCAUGGUCUAAAUCUUGCUAUGUGAUGGAAAUGACACUCGGCCAUGGAUGCAUCAUUCUUGCUUGGUGUUGAUGUUGUGUUGGUGAGAUACCAAGUUAUUUUUGUGACCAAGUUGAGAUUUGAAUUUUUGGAAUGAGUAAGGUUUUCGGCUAUGGUAAAUAUAAGGGUGAUGGAUGUUGUGUCAUGCUAAAUCUAGAUGAACAAUGUUAGUGCUUAUAUCUCGAUAUUCAUGAGUUUCUUUCUUGGUUUUACCUCAAACCCAUGAAGUAUUUUAAUUGGUGUUGUUAGAAGUUUCGGUCAUGGGAUUAUAAGCUUGUUAGUUUUGAUGAUGAAAUUUAUGCCUUGCAAGGGUAAAUGGUGUCUUGAUGCAUUCGGCCAUGGUAGAAAGUAGAAGUGAAAUGGUAGUAAGAUAACAUGCAAAAUUGUUAGUAUUUGAUUUCUAGUGUAUACAUGCGUAUUAGCCGAGUUUUGAAUUUGAAACGAAACGGUAUAUAACCAAUACAAGUAACCAUACUUGUGGGAAGUCUUAAGCAUAUAAUUGGCCUCAACAUAUACAUGCAUACUCGGCCAAAUGAGAAGAUUUGUGCUGCAUGCAUUCGGUUAGAGGCAAGCAUAUUGAUGCCUAUAUCUUGGUUAGGACAAUCGGCUAAAAGGGAGUGUGGGUUAAUAGGUUGAGUUGAUGCAUGAUUUCACAUGUAUGUGACUUUAAUGUCUAAUGUAUAAAUAUGGGCUAAGUGCCUCGUGUUCCUCUUUUCGAUGCUCAAAUGAUUAAAUCAAUUUAUUUGUUUAAUUAAGCUCAAGAGCAAAAGGGAACUAAAUCCGAUAAAGGGAAGGAAAAAGUGGUCGAAUAGCCAUCGGAAUCGUUCGACAACAUCCGAGGUAAGUUCUUGAGUAAUAGAGCUUAAAUUAUGAUUUGAUUAGAUCAUGUUUUAAGCAAAUCAAAAUCAUGCUCUUUGUGUGUGGCUAUUGAGCCGAAAUUGCAAGAAUGAUAAGUGUCUUGUGUUUGAGUUUUGCUAACAAAAAUGAAAUACGAAUGUGCCAUGAUUUAUUGUUAAAUGUGCAUGGUUAUUUGAACGAUGUCCGGGCUAAGUCCCGAAGGCUUUGUGCUAAGUGACCAUAUCCGGACUAAGAUCCGAAGGCAUUUGUGCGAGAUACUAAUUCCGGGCUAAGCCCGAAGGCAUUGGUGCGAGUUACUAAAUCCGGGUUAAGUCUCGAAGGCAUUUGUGCGAGUUACUAUAACCGGGCUAAGUCCCGAAGGCAUUUGUGCGAGUUACUAUAACCGGGCUAUGUCCCGAAGGCAUUUGAAUGAGUAGCUAUAUCCGGUUAAAUUCCGAAGGUAUGUGAUUUGGGAAUGAAUGAUCUUGCUGUAAAAAUUUCAGUUAAUACGCUUGAACAUCCCAACAUUGAGGUAUGUUUCGUAUGUGCUUUGAAUUAGUUGAGCCCUUACAAAUAAGUAUUCGCUCAGUUGAUAAAUGAGCUACCGGCCUUUGGCUAAGUUGAUCUUUUGUGUAUGAACAUAAGGGUUGGUAAUGUGAAGUAAGUAUGAAAUCGAAAAUUUGUGCAUAUGAAAUUAUCCGUUUAGCUAUAUGAAUGCUAUACUUUUGUUGUGCUGGAAUCCCUUGCUCAAAACUUACUAAGCAUAAAUUGCUUACUCCGUUUCUUUGAUUCUCUGUUUUAUAGAUUUUGGCUCUUCAGCUAUCGGACUCGGGAUUUUGAAGUCGAAGUCGCCCACACUAUCAAAGCCCCCUUUUGGUACAAUUUUGGUUGAACUUCGAAAUGGCAUGUAUAGGACUACCCUUUUUGUUGUGGGUCAUGGACCCUUUGGACUUGUAUAAUUUUGGAUAGCCAUGCGAAAAUGGCUUAUAUAUGUUUGAGCAUAAUGUUAUAACCAUUUGGUAUGGAUAUGGUUAUUGAGAGGUGUGGAUAUGCUUAACAAGGAUUGGCCAUGGAAUGGUUAAUCACUAUCAUAAUUUGUGCUAUUUAUGCUAAAAGGGCUAGUUGAAUCAUGGAAACUAUGAAAUAGGUAAAGUCUACCUUAAAGGCAGAUGCUGACAGCAGCAGUGAUGUAGAUUUGGAAAAUCACUAAAAAUAGUAGGAAUGAAAUUAAAUAGUGAAUAAAUUAUGUAAACGAACCUUGAUGAAUCUAUUUUCAUAGGAAAGUAACGAAACGAUCAUAUGGACAGUAUGUUAAGAGAUAUUCAGGUUCUCGUGAGACAGGGCCAGAACGGUUUCUGGAUUCCCUGUUCCGACUUUGGAAAUUCAUUAUAAAUUAACCAGAGAUAAUUAGGAGUCAUUCCAUAUAUGUAUAGAUUCCUCUAUGAGUCUAGUUUCUAUAGAAACCAACGGCAUCAGUAUUGAAGCUCUGUGCAGGGAGAUAUCCAAGUCGUAAUGCUCAAAGGUCAGUGUAGUUGAUCCCUGUAACAUGGGAGACUUUGACUAAUAAACUGUACUAAUUGGCCCAACCAAAAAUUCUAUAAAAAAAUAUGUAGAUGGGAAUAUGAGUUUAGUUUCAGGGAAAAAUCACGAAAUUGAUUUUCGAGUUGUGAAACUCAAGAUAUGAUUUUUAAUGUGACAGUGACGCAGUUAGCCAGCUUGCCUGGAAAAUUUUAAAAUGGAUUGUGCAAAGAAGUGAUUUAAGUCUGCAAACCCCUCGUGUCCGACUCCGGCGACGGACUCGGGUACGGGGUGUUACACGAAUGGUGGUUGAUGAUUUAGCUAAUAGAACUUUGUUCGUUAAGUUCUACAAUGAAGCAUAUGAGAUUUUAAAGAGAAGCUCCAAUAAUGACUAUUAAUACCCCACAACAAUAGCUAGAACUGGUAGGAGCGUGGCUAGAUCAUUCGAACUUGAUGCUAUUACCUCGCUUAUUGCUCAGGUAUCUUCUUUAGCUAACAUGAUAAAGACCAUGCAGAAGCCUAGUGAGGUGAAAGAGCUUAAAGCAGCUGGGUUAUCUUGUGUCUAUUAUGGCGAGGAUCACAUAUUUGAAGAGUGUCCCUUGAACCCAACAUUUGUCUACUAUAUGGUCAACUUCAAUAUGAACAACAAUCCUUAUUCCAACACGUAUAACCCCGGUUGGAAACAACACCUAAAUUCUGGGUGAAACAUUCAAGGAGCUGGAAAUUCCAACAUGACUAUUAGACCAAAUGCCAUGAAUGUUCCAUUUGGUUUCAAUUAGUCUAUAUUGCCUCAACAAUGAGUUCAAAAAGGACAGGAUUUAUCUUCUUCCUCAUCUAUUGAGUCUCUACUGAAAGAGUAUAUGACCAAGAAUGAUCCUGUGAUCUAGAGCCAAGCAUCACCGUUACGAGCUUUAGAGAAUCAAGUAGGAUAGAUAGCUAAUUCUUUAAACUCAAGAAUACAAGAAUUUUUUCCUAGUUAUACCAGGAAUGCAAAACCACAUGAGAAAGAACAUUGUAAAGCAAUCACUCUUAGAAGUGGCACACAACUAGACAAAGUUGUCAAGAAUGUUGUUCCUAAAUCAGAAAAUUCAGAAACAAGUACAAGAAAAACCCUUGAACAAAAUAAGAAGAGCACCACAACUAAAAAACUGGACCAAGCAAUGCUGAAGCAAACUCAAAUAGCACUACCGAACACAAUGCCGAGCAAAAUAAUCAUUACAACCUGAACUUUGCCUACCCCCACCAUUUCCUCAACUCUUUCAAAAUCACAAACAAUACCAGCAUUUCAGGCAAUUAUUGGAUGUCUUUGAGCAACUUCACAUCAAUAUACCUUUGGAGGAAGCGUUGGAGCAAAAUGCCUAACUAUAUCAAGUUUAUGAAAGACAAACCUAUUUGGAAAACGGGUUUGCAAAACGCAAUGAAAAAUAAAUUUAUAGAAAAACCAGAGUUUUAAUUUUUUUCCAAACCAAGAUCUUGGUUGUGAUAUCUAAAGUAAUAAACAAUUAAUCAAAAUUGUACCUUUUCAACUCGUCUAGGAUGAGUGCUUCGACCGAGUAGUCUUCUCCGUUAUCCUCAAGCUCACAUCUGCUGAGUGUGGGCUCGGUUCGAAUCAAAAAAAUUUUCACAAAAAUUACCAAUGGGAUAAUUUUGCAAUUUCUCUAAAAUUUUGGGUCAAGUUGUAAAUCAAAAAAAAUAUCUCUAGAAUUUUUUUUGGAAUAAUCUCUUUAGAGAAUUCUCUUUACAACUUUCUCUUGAAUUCAAGUGUGUGUAAAUAGUGACCCAAGGCUCUCCUUAUAUAGGGAGAGUUUAGAGUUCAACUAUGAUUAAUCUUAAUCACUUUAAUAUUAAAUUAAUAUAAUAUUUAUCAAGAUAAGUAUUAGAUUAAAUUUAAUAUUAAAUGCUAUUAUAAUAAUAGAAUGUUUAUCUAUAAGAUAAAAAUUAAAUUAAAUUUACUAUUAAACUAUUAAAAUAAUAUUAUUUUUGGAAUAGUUAAUCUGAAAUCAAAAUCUCUGGUAGAGUCCCACUUGAAGUGUACCUCUUCCACUACUCAACCAACAAUGACCAACUACCGCCGACAACCUGGAUGCUACCAUCACAACCACCAGCACUGCCAUGUUCGAUGAUACAAGUGCGACACCCUUACGGCAUCCUGCGCCGGUUCAACUGCUACCGGUUUGGUCCGGCUCAAUGACGACCCAACUAAUCUAGUCUAGCCACCGGUUGGACCGUCGACCCAAUUCGACCAGUUUUUGGGCCUUAGUAUAGGUUUUGAGCUCCCAAGCCCAAUUUACAAUCUCAUGUCCAAUUUUCAAGUUCAAUUACCCAUUUGGUCAAUUUUUUAACUUGAAAUUAACUUCUCAAAAUAUCAAAUUAAUUUUAAUUAAUUUGAUUAAUUUAAUUUACUUGAUCAAAAUUAAUUUUUAAAAAUCCUUUAGAUUUUCUAAAUUAAUUUUUCAAGAAAAUUAUUUAAUCAAGUUCUCUAAUUGAACAAUUCUCACGACCACCUAAUUUAAUUUCACAUCAAAUAAAUCGAUUCAAUUAAAUUAUUCCCAAAGUCGUAGAAUUUUCUUUUGAUUCAAAUGCAGUCCAAUCGAGCUUUUGUUGAGCUACCAGAGGGACCAAUCAGCCAUAUACUAUUAGGCUUUAGUGAUUGCAAUUAUGUCUAGAAGAAUCGUACUGAUAAUUCUCAAUUACUUAAUCACUGAGUCAGUCUACAAGAAGUACCAAUGAAGUGUUAUAUACAUAUCCUCUUCCAGUUUCCCAUUAAGGAAAGUUGUUUUGAUGUGCAUCUACCAGAUUUCAUAAUCAUGAAAUGCAGCUAUUACAAGUAAGAUCCAGAUGGAUUUAAACAUAGCAACAGGAGAAAAUGUUUCAUCAUAGUCAAUACCAUGAACUUGGUGAAGACCUUUAGCGGCUAAUCUCCCUUUGUAAGUUUGUACAUUACCAUCCAUGUUUGUUUUCUUUUUGAAAACCCACUUGCACUUUAUAGGUUUAACCCCUUUAGGUGGCUCAACCAAGAUCCAUACAUUGUUUUCUAACAUGGAAUCCACCUCAGAACUUUUGGUCUCAAGCCGUUUCUCAAAAUCUAGGCUCACCACCGCUUCUUCAUAAGUCCCAGGUUCAUCUUAAUCCUUAAGUAGAAUAUCUGUAACAGCCCAUUUUUAGUGAAAUCAAAACAAUAGUUUUGGGAUUUGAUGAGCAAAUAUUUAUUUUAUUAUUUUCAUGUCUAUGGUAUUCUAGAAGAGUCGUUUAAAAAUUUCAUUAAGAAAUUUUGACUUUUGCAGGCUUAAUUUUGUUAAAAGGACUAAAUCGUUAAAGGUACAAAAGUAGAGUUUUAGUAGCUAAAGGUAUCAAAUAGCUAUGAAAAUUUAAAGUGAAAGGAUUUAGAUGGUAAAUAUACCAUUAUAUAGUUAGUGGAUAUUCAUGGAUUGGUUUUAUUGAAAUUAUUAAAGUUUUUAAAGGUUAUUUUGGUAAUUAAGUAAAUAAAGGUUAAAAACAUAAAAAAAGAAAAAAAAGAUAUCAUCUUCUAAUUGUUGUCUUCUUCAAUCGAAAUUAUCAAAGCACCAUAGCUAGGGUUCGCUCACUUUAUUUUUCUUGCAUGGUACGUAUUUUGAUUCCAUUUUUAAUGAUUUUUAUGUUUUGGGGACCGUUGUAGCUUAAUCUAGCUAGCCCAAGGACUAAUUUGCAAAAUUGUUAAAGGAUUAAGGUUUUUCCAUGAACAUGUGUAUGGUUUUUGAAUUUUAAUGAAAGGUUCUGUGUCCUUAUUGUUAAAUAAACAACUUUUGUAAAGGGAAUUUUGAUGAAAUUAUCAUUUAGGGACUUAUUUGUAAAAGUAGUAAAAUACCAAGAUAAAUUUGUGAAAUGUUGAUUUUUAUGAGGUUAUAUAAGUCCUUCGGUAUUUCAACUAGCAUGAAAUGUGGAUGAAAUUGCAUGAAGGUCAAUUUACGAACUUAAGGACUAAAUUGUAAAUAACGUAAAUUAUUAGGGGAAAAAGUGUAAAUUAGAAAAAGUAUGAAUUUUGGACUAAAUUAAAUAGCAUGAUUAUUAAAUGAAUUGAUUUUUCUUAUUUAAAUCAAGAUAAACCUCAUACAAAUCUAGAUCGAGAAAAAGCUAAAGCCUCGGAUUAGUGAUCUCGUUCUUGCGUUUUUGUAAUCAAGGUAAGUUCAUAUGUUUAAAUAAUUUUUAAUGAUAUUUUGAUAUAUGUGCUACUGUGCUAUUUAUCACAUCAUGAAAUGGUGGAAAUCCAACAAUGUUUCGACGAUUAUCGAGCCCCGUUUGAACCUUAGGAAUAUAUAAGAUAUAAAUGGCAUGUCAUUAGGGUUACCAUGUUUUGAGUGUUGCUCCUCAAUGUCCUACCGAUGGCUGAGUUCUGGCAUUUGUUGCAGAUACUCGUCAGCCUGUGUGAGCAGCAUCGUGUAGCUACAUUUUGACCGUCAGCUUGUGUGAGUUGACCCAUUUUAUGGCUCGAGUGAGCAAUGAUGUAAAGGAAAAGGAAAAGAAAUGGUUUUGACCAUAUGUUUAGGACAGUUUGUGUGAGCUUUCCCACGUAUCCACUAUUAUUCUAAGUGGUUCAAAGGGCAUGAAAGGGGAAGGAACGAUAAGUGUACCAAUUGCUAAGUUAUGAACCUAUGCAAAGGUAUGAAAUGAUCUGUGAAUGUAUAUCUAUGUUUAUGAAAAGUAUGAAUCCAAUGACAUUAUGUUCAUGUGAAAUUUACCUUACCAUGUGAUGAUUCAAAUGAAUUAUGUGUUAAUGCACUAACAAUUGUUUUUCAUGAUGCUUAGGCAUGUGCCAAGCUAUUGGUUGGAUUGUACCAUGUUUAAUUUUAAAGUUAUGCAUUGAAACGGUAAGUUAUGUUCAUUUUAUACAAACUUACUAAGCAUUAUAUGCUUACGUAGUUUUCUUUCCUUUGUUUUAUAGAUGAUCGGAAGCUAGAUCGAUUCGGAAGCUCGUCGGAGACCUAUCACACUAUCCAACAAAUAUAUUGGUAGACUUUAAUGUUUUAGUCAAGGUUAUAAUGACAUGUAUAGGUGGACAUGUGUUUAAUGAUCUAGUUAUUAUUUUAGCAUGCAUAUGUUAUUCUGGUUGAUGUACUUAUGGUACUUGGAUGCCUUGAUGGUUGGUGUUAUUAUGGCUAAGUUGAUGCAUGUUUUGAACGACCAAUUUAGUAUGUGAUGGUCUAGUUUCAAUGUGGUCAAUUAUUAUAUAAUUUGGUAUAGAAUUAAGCUAGAUAUGUAUGGAUGAGUUAUGGCCAAAUAUGUAUAAGUUUAGGUAUAUGUGCUUGAUUGUGAUUGAGGUGCCUAUAUGGCAUAUUUGUUGGAUGGAUAAAUGGCUUAUUGAAUUGGUCUUAUUAUGCAUGUUUUGGUAUGUUUUGAUGCCUUUGUUAAAGGUACAAAUGGAUUGUACAUGCAUGCUUUUAAUUGGUGAAAGAAAUGGCUUGAUUUAGGCCAAUUUCUUGUCCACGCGGCAUAAGACAUGGGCGUGUGUCUCAGCCGUGUGUGACACAAGGCCAUGCGACACAGCUGUGUCCCCUAUAGAUUUUAAAGGUUGCAAGUCAGACAGUUACACGGCCUAGCACAUGACCUGACAUACAGACGUGUGGCUUGAUCGUGUGACACAACUUAGAGAGUUACGUGGGCACGGACACAGGCUGGGACACGAUCAUGUGUCCCUAUUUCGAUUGUUACAUAGCCUGAGACACGAGCGUGUAUCUUAGGCCGUGUGACCCUUGCAAUUUUAAAUUUUCUAACUUUUUUCUCAAUGUUCCAAUCGUUUUUGAUUUAGUCCUGAAUCAUUUCUAAAGUGUUUCUAAGGCAUCGAGGGCUUGAUUAAGGGACAAUAUGCAUGCAUAUGAAUAGAUUAUGUUAUGUUUAUUGUAAUGUUCUCGAUCUGUUGUUGUUCUCAAAUUUCUUUGAGUUCUAUUCUUUGAUCAAUUCCUUUUCUAAAGACAAACACUCUUUGAAAGAAGACUCCUAUCCGAGAAACAAAUACUUUGUUCUUGGUAGGAUUGAAGAAAUAAUAUUCUUUAGUUUCUUUAGGAUAUCCCACAAACAUGCACUUUUGAGGUUGGGUUCAAGCUUAGUAGACAUCUAUCAUUUAACAUAAGCUUCACAACCCUAAAUCUUCAUCAAAGGCAUACUAGGACACUUCCCAGUCCACAUCUCAUAUGGUGUCUUUUGAAUCAAUUUAGAUGGAACACGAUUUAGUGUGAAAGUAGUUGUUCCCCCAAAAGGAAGUAGGAAAAUCAGUAUGACUCAUCAUUGAUCAAACCAUGUCUAAUAGUGUUUGAUUUCUACUUUUAGAAACUCCAUUUCAUUAUGGAGUACCAAGAGGUGUAAGUUGUAAGACAAUCUCACAUUCUUUUAAAAACUCAUUAAACUUUAAGCUUAAGUAUUCUCACCCUCGAUCUAAUCGAAGUGCCUUAAUACUUUUACCUAGUUGGUUAUGUACUUCAUUUUUAAAUCCCUUGAACUUUUCAAGGGCUUCAGAUUUAUGGCGUAUAAGACAAAUAUGCCUAUAUUUACUGAAGUCAUCAGUGAAAGUAAUGAAGUAUUGGAAUGCUCCUCUAGCUUGUGUGUUCAUUGGUCCACAUACAUCACUAUGUAUUAAGCCCAAUAAAUCACUAGCUCGUUGAUUUUUACUAUUAAAAGGAGUUUAGUCAUUUCACCCAACAAGCAAGACACACACAUAUAUCCAAUUUUUCGAAAAUAAAAGAAUCCAAAAUCUCAUCUUUAUGGAGCUUUGAUAUGUGCUUCUCACUUAUAUGGCGAAAACGACAAUGCCAAAGAUAAGUUUGAUUAGAGUCAUUUAUUUUUUAUCUUUUAGUAUUUCUGUUAUAAAUGGGUCUAUCUUAAUCUAAAAUGUAGAAGUCAUUUACCAAUUGUGCCGAAUCAUAGAAAACAUUAUUGAGAUAAUAUGAACAACAAUUAUUCUUAAUAGUUAUCUCAAAAUCAAUUUUGUCUAAAUAAGAAGUUGAAAAAAUGUUUCUAGUCAAAUUGGGCACAAAAUAACAAUCCUCUAAAACUAAAUAAAGUCCACUAGGCAAUGAUAAAAUAUGUAUUACUACAGCUAAUGCAACAACUCUUCCUCCAUUCCCAACUCGUAGGUCCACAUCUCCUUUAGCCAGAUUCUUACUCUUUUGCAAUUCCUGUACAGAGGUACAAAUAUGAGAACAACAUCCAGUAUCUAAUACCCAAGAAGUAGAUGUUGAUAAAUUAAUAUCAAUAAAAUGAAUACUUGAAGUAGACACUCCGUUUUCCUUUGCCUUCUCAACCUCUUCAAGAUAGGCAAAACAGUUACUCUUCCAAUUUCCAAUCUUAGAACAAUGGAAAAUUUUUCCUUCCUUAGCAAUUCCUCCUUUAGGUUUUAAUGCAGCUUUUCCUUUGUUGAGCUUAGCCUUGCCAUUUUCCUUAGGCUUUGCCUUAGCAUUAGCCUUUCCUUUGCCUUUGUCCUUGCGGAUCAUCAGGAUGGGCUGAGGCCCAACCUUUUUCAUGUUACUUUCAGGAGUUUGUAACAGGCUAAGCAACUGUGGAAAAGUCUUAUUAAUCUCAUUCAUGUUGAAAUUAAGGACAAUUUUGCUAAAACUAUCCGAAAUUAAUUGCAAGAUGACAAUGGUGGCCAACUCCACACCUAAAAGGAUUCCUAAUUAUUCAAGGCUUUCAAUAUAGCCUACCAUCUUCAGAACAUGAGUUCCCAUAGAAGUUCCCUCCACCAUUUUGCAUCAAAAUAGAGUUGUAUAGGUUUUAUACCUCUCUUGACGUGCUUGCUCCUCAUAUAAUUCCUUGAGGUACUUGAUCAUAUCAUAGGUAACCAUAUCAUCAUAUUGCUUUUGAAGCUCAAGAGUCAUGGUGGCAAGCAUUAGACGUCCUAUGUCUAACAUGUCAUCAAGAUGCUUCUUAUAAAGUCAAGAUGCUUCUAGAGGCAAUAGUUGUUGGUUCAUAAGAAACGGUUUCUUCAAUGACAUAUAAUUUUCGUUCUUGUUUGAGGAUAACCCUUAAGUUACGAAACAAGUCAAAGAAGUUCAAGCCAUUCAACUUGUUCUUCUCAAGGACCGAUCGCAAUGAUAAAGAAGUUGUGUUUAUGUUUAAUGAAAUAUGUGAAAAUAUGAAAUUAGGACAUAGAAAUUAUUAAAAUGUGAUUUUAUGUUUUAUUAUAUAGUUUUCAUGCAUAAAAUGGUUUAUUUUAUAUUAAUUUAAGCAUAUUAUAUUUUUAAGCUAUAAAGUGGGUCAUGCAUGAUUAAAUUAAAUAAUAAAAUAUUAUAUUAUAUUUUAAUAAUUCAUUUUAAAUAUUUCAUUAAUAAAAUUGGGUUUAAUUAAUUAAUUAAAUUGAUUAAUUAAAGUGGUUAAAUUAAUUCAUUUGGUCCUCUAAACUAUUUGCUAUUUUUGACAGGUCUGAGAGUUUUCUUCUAAUUGUAGAACCGUCUAAAGUGGGGACCAAGUCAACCCAAAUUUUGGCUGAACAUGGAUGAUUAGAAACCAAUUUUUGGUUUAAUUACAUAAGGCCCUUGAAGAGUUAAAGAAAUCAGAGAUUUACCUAAAGAUUUGCUGGAGACCGAGUCUUAGUCCUGAGUUGUUGUGGCAUUCAAAUUGACCAAAAAUCAAGGAAAAAUCAGCCACAUUUCCUCAAUUCAUGGCCGGGCACUCUUGGAGGAGGUUUCAAAGAAUGGACACUCCUAAUUUUAGCAAACUAGCUCCCUUGCCUCACCUAUAAAUAAGAGCUCAUUUCUCACUUUUUCAAUCAUCCCUCAUCCCUCUCAUCUCUCAUCCUCUCUCUCAACUCUCUUAGCUCUCAUGCCUAUCAUCAUCCUUGCAUAAAAUUAGCCUCUUAAAGAGCCCUUGGUCAGCCACCUUGGAGAACCAUCCGCAAAGGAGCAAAGCAAAGAAGCGAAGGAGCCUCGUCAGUCAGAGUCUUGGGUGACAGCCACUCUAAAUUGGGUUUAAUUUUUCUUUUCUUUAAUUUAAUUUAAAGAUGUUUGCUAUGAGUUCUAUGUUCUUAUUUACAACAAUGAUAGCUUAAAUUUUAUUUAAGAUAGGAUGAUUAUUUUGAUUAAAUAAUAUUUAUGUGAUUCAUGCUUAUAAUGUUUGUGCCUCAAUCGAUCAUGUUUUCAAUGAAAAUCAAGUCUAUAUUUUGUUCAUACAUGGUUGAAAUACACCUGAAUUAGCUGAGCGAUCCUAACUAGACAACGGCUAAUGGAUGCAUAAUUUAAAUGUGCAUGCUCAAUUUAGAUCCUAACCCGAUUGAAUUGUAGGUUGCAUAACAACUCUAACCAAGCUUUGUUAUCUGCAUAGUUUUUAGAUUUCUGAGAUUUAAUUGUUUUAAACCUAACACGUCCCUGUUACCUCACACGAAUGCUAAGAAACCCUUAGUAAAUAAGGAUUAGUAAAAUGCGUAUUUACUAAGUAAAGGAUCCUGAAAGGACCUGAUUUGGUUUCCAAAACUCAUGAAAGAUCGAGUUGCCAUGGAAUGUUUUUUCGAAUAUUAUUAAGCAUGAUGAUAAUAAAUUAAAUUUAAUUAAAGUAAUUGUCCUAGUUUAUUUAUGUUAUAAUUGUUGCAAAUUGUGUUUAAUUUUACCAAAAUCUAUUUCAUUCAUAUAGUCUACAUAUUAGGAUAAUUUACAUUAGGGAUCAUUGCAUCUAGUUUAUACCACUUCUCAACUAUAUUUUGUUUUUAUUUUUUCAAAUUGUUAAUAUAAUUUUACAAAUUAUGUGACUUAGCACAAAUACAAUCCCUGUGGAGACGAUAACUCGAUACUUACUUAUUACUUGAUAACGACUGUGUACACUUGCACAAACCCUAGCGUUACAAGUUUUUGGGGUCGUUGCCGGGGAUUGUCAACUAUUGCUAUAGUCAUUUUUUUCGUGAAAUUAUUUAUUGUCAAUUUGAUUUAUUUCUAACAUUACUAACUUAUUCUUUUUAAUUUUUGUGAUUUUCAUUUCAGUUGUUUAUGAGCAUAGAUUUAAUUAUCGAUUUACUCCCUGUAAACCCUGAAAUUGAGCGAACUUUCAGAAAAAGAAGACUUGAACGAACAACUCAAAGACAAGUCGAGAUGGACCUUGGGAAUUAGAAUCAAGACCACGGUAAUGAAGUCGAUCAUCUACGAAAUCCUAUCCUUAUUGUUGAUGAUAGGGAUCGAUACAUCAGACAAUAUGCUGUGCCACUUUUUAGUGAGUUAAACCCAGAAGUUAGAAGGCCAAAUAUUGAGGCAACCCAGUUUGAAUUGAAACCAGUGACGUUUCAAAUGGUACAAAUGGUGGGCCAAUUUAGUGGUAUGCCCACGGAAUAUCCACAUCUCCACCUUCGAUUGUUUAUGGACAUGAGUGAUUCAUUCAAGAUAGCUGGCGUGACUGGAGACGCAUUGAGGUUGAAGUUGUUUCCGUACUCGUUGCGAGAUCAAGCAUGAGCAUGGCUCAAUUCAUUGCCACCAAGUUCCAUAUCUACAUGGCAAGAAUUAGCAGAGAGAUUUUUGGUUAAGUAUUUCCCACCUAGCAAAAAUGCUAAGUUGAGGAACGAGAUCACAACUUUCCAACAAUUGCAUGACAAGUCUUUGUAUGAGGCUUAGGAGCGAUUCAAGGAGUUACUUCGUAAGUGUCCUCAUCAUGGGAUUCCUUAUUGUAUCCAGUUGGAGACAUUCUAUAAUGGUCUGAAUGCACAUACAAGAUUAAUGGUAGAUGCUUUCGCGAAUGGUGUAACUUUGUCUAAGUCUUAUAAUGAGGCUUAUGAGAUCAACGAGAGCAUCGCGAGUAAUAACUAUCAAUGGCUAACAAAUCGAACAGCUUCAGGAAGACGAGUAGCCAGAGUUCAUAAAGUUUACUCUAUCACUUCGUUAUCAACUCAGGUAUCAUCUAUUUCCUCUAUGUUAAAAUAGUAAUCGCUAAUAGUACUAAUAAUUUUGUAGCUCAGCCACCAAGUCUGUUUCAAGUAGUUUCCUGUGUGUACUAUAGGGAAGGUCAUUCUUUUGAGAAUUGUCCAUCAAAUCCUGAGUCAGUGUACUAUGUGGAGAACCAAUAUCAAAAUAAGAGUGGACAAGGACCCAAGUCCAACUUCUACAAUCCUUCAUGGCGUAAUCCUAACUUUUCUUGGAGCAACCAAGGAAAUGGAUCCAAUAACUACUUAUUGCAGCAGAGACCCAACCAAUCUCAAGGGUUUAAUCCGCAAGCUCCAAAACCACUUCAAGCUGAGGCAUCAAACAGUUUGGAGAACUUGUUGAAAGCGUACAUGGUAAAGAAUGACGCUUUGAUCCAGAGCCAAAUAGCAACACUGAAAAAUUUGGAAAACCAAAUGGGUCAGUUAGCUACGGAGUUACGUAAUAGACCACAAGGAACCUUGCUGAGCGAUACUGAGAAUCCAAGAAAUUUGGGUAAAGAACAUAUCAAAGCAGUGGCAUUGCGAAGUGGUAAAAUUCUAGAACCCCAAUUUAUUGAUGUCGAAGAUAAGCCGUUGAGAAGAGUCAACCAGAUGUUGAAGUUCCUACACCAAAGGAAUCAGAAUCUGCAAAGUCUGACAAGGUAAACUCUGACCUAGUGAAUUCAGAUAUUUUAACAUCUUUGGGUACAGAUUUACCUAUUCAGAAAAGUUGUCCGGUUCAAUCGAAAUUUCUAUCACCUCCAUAUACGCAAAGAUUACAGUAACACAAGUAGAAAUAGGAGGUGCAAUUCAAGAAGUUUUUGGAUAAUCUGAAGCAGUUACACAUCAAUAUUCCAUUGGUGGAGGCUUUAGAACAAAUUUCAAAUUAUGUGAAGUUUAUGAAGGAUAUACUGUCCAAGAAAAAAUGACUAAGUGAGUAUGAGACUGUUGCUUUGACAAAGGAGUGCAGUGCGUUCCUGUAGAACAAACUGCCAUCGAAAUUGAAAGACCCAGGAAGCUUUACUAUACCCUGUAAUAUUGGUCAAUCUUAUUGUGGUAAAGCUUUGUGUGACUUAGGAGCGAGGAUCAACUUAAUGCCUAAGUCUAUUUUCAAGAUGUUAGGGAUAGGUGAAGUAAGACCUACAACUAUGACGCUUCAGCUAGCGGAUCGAUCUUUACCAUAUCCUGAAGGAAAUAUUGAGGAUGUUUUGGUAAGAGUCGAUAAAAUUUUUUCCUGCUGAUUUCAUUAUUUUAGAUUUUUAACUAGAUAAAGAAGUACCAAUUAUCCUUGGGAGACCUUUCCUAGCCACGGGAAGAACAUUAAUUGAUGUUCAGAAAGGUGAAAUCACCAUGCGAGUUCAAGACAAUCAGGUAACCUUUAACAUUCUUAAAGUAAUGAAAUUUCUCGAUCCAGUAGAGAAGUGUUCAGUUAUAGAAGAGAUGGAAACCUUGGUUUCUUUGGAAAGCAAUUUUGAAGAAGAUCCAUUAGAGAAAGCUUUAGAUCUUGACCCUUUGGAGGAUGAAGAAGGUGAAGAAAACAUGGAUUUGAUGAAAGCCAAUCCGAGAAAUUAUAUUCAAUCCACAUGGUUUGAACCGUUGGAGUUGGAAGUUAGAGAAUUUGUGCAACCCAAGUUGUCAAUCGAAGAACCACCUAAACUUGAACUAAAGAUACUUCCUUCCCAUUUGAAAUACGUGUAUUUAGGUGAUUGUUCUUGCCUAUGAUUAUAUCAGUGGAACUGACAAAAGAUCAAGAGAAGCGAUUAAUUGUUGUUCUAAAGAAAUUUAAGAAAGCAAAUUGGUUGGACCAUAGCUGAUAUUCAAGGUAUAAGCCCUUCUUUUUGCAUGCAUAAAAUCAUUUUAGAAGAAGGUAAAAGAGCUUAAAUUUAUGGGCAAAGGAGGCUCAAUCCUAUUAUGUAGGAAUCAUCUAUCCUAUUUCAAAUAGUUCAUGGGUAAGUCCGGUGCAGUGUGUGUCGAAGAAAGGUGGAAUCACGAUUGUUGAAAAUGAGCAUAAUGAGUUAAUUCCAAUGAGAACUGUUACCGAUUGGAGAAUCUGUAUUGAUUACAGAAAGCUGAACAAAACCACUCGGAAGGACCGUUUUUUGUUGCCUUUUAUGGAUCAGAUGUUAGAUCGUCUGGCAGGUAAUGAAUUCUAUUGUUUUUUAGAUGGUUAUUCAGGAUAUAACCAAAUAGUUGUAGCCCUGGAGGACCAACAUAAAACAACCUUUACUUGUCCGUAUGGUACCUUUUCUUUUAGGCGAAUGCCUUUUGGUUUAUGCACUGCACCUGCAACUUUUCAACGAUGCGUGAUGGCAAUAUUUACUGAUAUGGUCGAAAAUUUCGUCGAGGUUUUCAUGGAUGAUUUUUUUUGUUUUUGGUAACACUUAUUAUAUCUGUUUGAAUAAUUUGGCUAAGGUACUAAAGUGAUGUGAAGAGACGAAUCUUGUCAUUAAUUGGGAAAAAUUCCAUUUUAUGGUCAAUGAAGGAAUUGUCUUAGGUCACAAGAUCUCAAAGAAAGAAAUUGAAGUUGACAAAGAAAAGGUGGACGUAAUUGGAAUAUUACCGGCCCCAAUUAAUGUGAAAAGAGUCAAAAGUUUCUUAGGCCAUGUCAGUUUUUACCGAAGGUUUAUCAAGGAUUUCUCAAAAAUUUCUAAGCCGCUGUGUUUGUUGUUAGAGAAAGAUACAGUGUUCAAUUUUAACAAAGCAUGUUUGGAAGCUUUUGAAGAUCUAAAGAAUUGGUUAAUUACAACCCCAAUAAUCGUUACACCUGAUUGGAACUCACCUUUUGAGUUGAUGUGCGAUGUAAGUGAUUAUGCUGUUGGAGCUGUGAUGGGUCAAAGAAGAAAUAAAGUAUUCCACCCCAUUUACUAUGCAAGUAGAACCUUGACGGGAGCCCAACUCAAUUAUACGGUAACUGAAAAGGAACUAUUUGCUAUAGUUUUUGCUUUUGACAAAUUCUGUUCAUAUCUUAUAGGUACCAAAGUUACAGUAUUUACUAACCAUGCGGCCAUUAAAUACUUGCUCACAAAGAAAGAUGCAAAACCAAGGCUAAUUCGUUGGAUACUUUUUACUUCAAGAAUUUGACCUUGAGAUCCAAGAUAGAAAAGGUGUCGAAAAUCAAGUAGCUGAUCAUCUGUCGAGGUUGGAGCAAGAUAAGGUAACCCAGUCUUGUGUGCCUAUCAACGAGAAUUUCCCAGAUAAGUACUUAUUUGAGGUAAGUCGAAUUCAUGAAAUACUCUAGUUUGCUGAUUUUGCCAAUUAUCUUGCAUGUGGAAUAAUUCUUCGAGAAAUGACAUACCAAAAAAGGAAGAAAUUCCUUCAUGAUAGUCGGUAUUAUUUUUGGGAGGAUCCAUUUUUAUUUAAACAGUGUACAGAUAAUAUAAUCCGCAAGUGUGUAGCUGAAAGUGAGAUUGCUGAGAUCUUAUAUCAUUGCCAUUCAUCUCUAAGUGGGGGACACUUUGGUGUUUCACGUACUGCAUCAAAGAUUUUGCAAGCAGAUUUCUUUUGGCCUACACUAUUUAAAGAUACUUACGCUUAUGUGAAGAAUUGUGAUAAGUGCCAAAGAACCGAAAAUAUAUCAAGGAGAAAUGAGAUGCCCUUGACAAACAUUUUAGAGAUUGAAUUGUUUGACGUAUGGGGCAUUGACUUCUUAGGUCCAUUUCCUUCUUCAUAUGGGAACAAAUACAUCUUAGUUGUUGUAUGAAGCAUACCCUACAAAUGAUGCUAAGGUAGUCAUGCGAUUCCUACAUAAGCAUGUGUUUACACGAUUUGGGACAGCAAGAGCUAUUAUUAGUGAUGAAGGUUCUCACUUUGUGAACAAAUGGCUUAAGUGGUUGCUUGAAAAAUAUGAUGUGAAGCACAAGAUUGCUACUGCCUAUCACCCCCAGUCUAAUGGACAAGUUGAAAGAGUGAACCGUGAAAUCAAAGGUGUCCUUGAAAAGGUAGUACGCCCUAACAAAAAAGAUUAGUCUCGAAGGCUCGAUGAUGCAUUAUGGGCCUAUCGAAUAGCAUUCAAGACUCUGUUAGGAAUGACUCCUUAUCGGUUAGUCUUUGGAAAGGCAUGUCAUUUGCCAUUAGAAUUAGAGAAUAAAGCUCACUAGGCUUUGAAGCAGUUAAAUUUUGAUCAUAAGUAAGCCGGUGAGAAAAGGAUGUUACAACUUGAUGAGUUGCAAGAGCUGAGGUUGUUUUCCUUUGAGAAUGUCAAAAUGUGUAAAGAAAGAUCAAAGAGAUGGCAUGAUAGACAUAUACAACCUCGCGAGUUUAAAGAAGGUCAGAAGGUGUUGUUGUUUAAUUCAAGGUUGAAGUUAUUUCCUGGGAAGCUGAAAUCUUGAUGGAAAGGACUUUAUACCAUCCACCGAGUUUAUCCUUAUAGAGCUAUUGAAUUGUACAACAAUUACGGAGGUACAUUUAAAGUUAAUGGUCAACGCCUCAAACACUACUAGGAUGGUGAAGUUGAGCGAGUUGAAUCUUCGUUCAAAUUAACAGACCCUAGAUUUUUCAUAAACUCGUCUUGUAAAUAAAUAAAUAAUUAGAAUUUAUUUUCUUAAAUUAAGUACAUUUAAUUAAUUUUGUCUAAGGAGAUUGGAACUUAAGCGGGACCUCUGUGACCCCUCCAACCUUUCCUGGGAGUUAAUUUAAUGUAAUUUGUUAAGAAGAAAUCUUCUAAUUAGGUUUUAAAAUGUUUUUUUCUAGUUUAAUUUAUUUUGUUUAAUUUUAAAUUUUAUUGUUAAUAAAGGGGGUCAAGUUUGGCCCAAGUACUAAUCAGUUUUCUUUUAAGAUACAGUCUAAGUUUAAGGCCCAAGUCAGCGAAGAAGAGGGAAAAUUUUAACCUUUACCCUCACACCCAUUACUUGCCGUCCAAGUAACUUUAAUUUAGCUAAAUUUUUGUUACAUGUUGCCCUAAUUUUUCCCUAUAUAAACCCCUCUCCAUUCUACUAAAUUUCCAUAUCCCUCAAAGUAAGUUGCUUACACCCUAAAAUUCCUUAAAAUCUCUCUUUUUGUGCCGCUAGCCUCAAAUCUCGAAAGAAUCUCUAGCCCUUUUCUUUUCUUUGGCCGAAACUACCUAGUGCUGCCAUAAAAGAAUUGCCGAAGCAUCAAUGUCGCUAUCGCACGUAGCCGUUAUCACUGCCGUAUACCACCAUUAUUGCCGCACAUUGCCGCCGCAACUCCUUCACCAUUGCAAGGUUUACCGAAGCAAGAUCCACCCUCUUUUGCCGAUUUCUCUUUUGCCUUUGCAAGCCAAAACUUUGCUAAAUUUUCUAGAAAAUACCAUGUCUCGCAAAAGAACUAGAUCGUCAAAAACUACUCUGAAAAACCCGAUUUUGAUCGAUGAAGAAGUGAAAGAGCGAUUUGAUUCAAUCUUCAAGCAUCAACCUAUGAUGCCGGAAAAAGAUUUUAACCUGAAAAGCAAUGAUGUGAUGGUUGUCCCUAUACCGAUUAGAAAGAUAAUCAAUACUUUCAAGUGGGAACGAUUUUGUGAUGCUCGUUCACUUUCUGAUGAUAAACUAGUUUGAGAAUUCUAUGCUAGUUUGACUACGCAAGAUGCUACUGAAGUUAUCGUUCGAAAGAAAAAUGUACCUCUUACUUCUAAGUCCAUCAAUGAUUUGUUUAAUUUACCUAAUGUUGAAUAAGAUGAGUACUACCCUAUGAUGAAAAAUAUUAAUUGGGAUUUUCUUCAACAAGUGCUUGAUGUUGUGACAAAUCCGGGAUCCCAAUGGAUUAUAAGAAAGUAUGGCAGCCAUUCUUGUCAA